UUCACUAGCGAAAGACUUGAAGAAGGAAGCAUUAUGAAGGGGAGUACUCUUCUUCUACUGAAUGCGUAGAGAGCUCCGGAUUCUUUAGCAACUAGGAGAGCGACAGAGCUUCUUUUUUGAAAAGGCUAAAUCCCUUUCUUCAAUCCCACCUGCGGAGGCCCCAGUCUUUUUAUUCCCCCUAGCAUCUGUCACGGUCACAAAGGUCUUAUUUUUCAUUCGGGUCGGUCACUUUUCCGGGCCGGGAUCGAGAAGUGGAAGUCAUAAAAAAGAGAUGUUUCUCUUCGCACCUCAGAUCAAGAGGAAAGGUAGCUUGUCAAGCUGGUCUCACUAUUGGAAAUUCUAGCUUUGUAGAUCGUGUGUCCUGCGCAUUGAUCCGGCAGCGAGACCCGCCCUCCUGCACUUGGUUGACAAACCCUGAAACCAUAACACAGAUUUCAAUCUGCUCUUGGAAAUCCUCGAAUAGAAAGCCCUUCUCAAGAAAGUGAGCCACUCAAUCUGAGCCAGCGGAUUCUCAUUCAGCUGUGCCGGUGCGCAAAGUAAGCACGCUUAGACAACGAUGUCCUCAGUCAAAUCCAAUUCAAUAAAGAACAAGAAAAUGUAGGUGAACAAAGAAAGAAGGCAACUGCACUGCUUCCUGUGGGAAAGGCCAUGUUAGGCCGUGUGGUCGACGCCUUGGGAGUACCUAUUGAUGGAAAAGGGGCUCUAAGUGAUCACGAACGAAGACGUGUCGAAGUGAAAGCCCCCCUAACCUGAUUUUGAUGUCUUCUUCGUUCUCAGUCCCUAUGGUCCAUUGUAGGAUGAUUUUUCUAAGGCCUUGAAUUCGUUGGCAAGGUGAUCAGGGUCCUCUCCCUGGUCCUAUCGAACCACAAAAUCAAAAAUUCAAUAAAAGGUCAUAAUGGUCGGAAGCUGUUCACUACUUUAGAACCAUCCAGAAGGCAAGAGAAAAAAGCACCUGAGGUCAGGUGUUUCUUAGGAGCAUUCAGCCUUUUCCUUCAGCUUAGCGCCCUUACUUCUACUUCUCUCUAUUAAGCUGCUCUCUGGGUCCAUCCAUAAGCAUGCAUACUGGCGCUCUCUUAUUGGCUAUACACACACACACACACACAUAUAUAUACAUAUAUAUAUAUAUAUAUGUGUGUGUGUGUGUGUGUAUAGUACUUUUAGAUUUGAUUAAAUUACUUCCUAUACAUUCAUAAUGCUACGAGGUGACUACCUAUUAUUGUUUUCAGUCAAUUCCGUAAUUUGUGCUGAUUAAUUUAGUUUCUAGAUAGAGUUAUGUUUUUAUCCCUACAAUGGAAUUACCCCUAAUGUUAUGACAAAGUUACUUUCGUUUUGUCUGAAGUUACUUCUAUAAUAUAUGUAAAUUACAUUUAAACUUUAUUAAAUUUACUUUUGUAUGUCUAAGAAGUAAUUUAGUGAUAUCCAAAAGUAAUUUAGAUAUAUUAUUGUUAACGACCCAAUUUGGUAAUCCAAGGAUCAGAUGUGAAGGAGGAAUCGAGAUAGAGAUUGUCCCGGAAACAGAGUGAAGAUCGGCUGAAGUCCGAAUCGGCUACGACUAAGAUCAGCAGAGUUCGAGUCGGACGGGGUUAGCCGAUUGAGCCGAAUCCGACAAUAUGACACAACAUAUGUUGUCGGUUUAGGUUGACGUGCUUCAUGACGAUUGCCACGCAUGGAUAGAGUCCUGAGAAGGCAAUUGUAUCUAUUAGUUAGUAUAUUUUAUGUAAUUUCCUUAGAGAUAUGUUUAGGUAAAAGUCUGUUGCAAAGACUUAUGGUAUCUUAGAGUUUGUUAGAGAUAAGAGUCGUGUCCGAUAUGAACAUAUUUUGUAAUUCUCGGGUAUAAAUAGAUCCGAGCCCCAUGUAAUCAAACUAACACACGUUCAAUACAAUCUCGGCGCAUCGCCACUCUUUUAUUUUCAUUUUGUUUCGACGAGUUCUUGCUUUCAGGUUGAGCUGCAUAGGUUUCGAUCUUCAACAAGAGGUAAAACUUGUUAUGGUGGCUUGCGUUCUCGGGAUUAGUGCUUCCAUCUUCAUGAUACUUUAAUCUUGUUUAUGUAAUUCGACGAGUUAUCAUAUAUCUUAUAUAAUCUCCGGCAAUAUCGCUAUCUAACCUACAAUCGGCUAACAUUUGUUACUAGAAGGCAGCCGAUUAGGUUAAAUACCGAUGUUGACUUAGAUUAUAUAGGAUAUCUACCACUCUAUGACAUAUCUUAUGACUUGAUUGUAUAUUGUCCUUCUUUUCAUACUUAUAGCUUCAUCAGUUGAGUUUGAUCUUAUGAGUCGUGAUUAGAAUCUUAAUCUCUAGCCUGUCUUUGGUUGCUGAUUAGGGUAGUAUUGGGGUUUCAGCCGAUCUUAUCUGAUUUAACUACAUUUAUCCUACAUGCUUCUUUGACAUGUUAAAUUUGCCCUUUAUGUUAAGAUCUCGUUGCAUUUAAGUAUAUUAGGCUUUUUGUUUGAUAUAUUCUACUCGCUUUAAUAUCCUAAUAUAGAGUAGUAUCGGAGUAUUAGCCGAUACAUGCUAGAUCUAUCUGAUCGGCUAUGCUAUGAACACAUAUAAUCUCAUUAUUAGUAUAUAUUUCGAUCUAAGUGAUUUAUACUGUCUCGGCAUGACGACCGAUCUAUCCCAAUCACUUGAUUUAAGUAUAUAUCGAUCUAAGGAUUAUAUAUUGUUAAUAUCUGCAGCCGAUCGAGUAGAUUUAGUUCUUUGUUAUUUCUUAAUGACUGCCGAUCGAUGCAAAUAUGACGUCGGCUCAAGGAUAAAUGAUAUCUCAUCGGCACUUAGCCGAUCGGCUAUCGUUUAUGGAUUUAACCGCGAUUUUCUUUGUCUUAGUUUCCUGUUGAUUGUAGGAUCAAAUCAACUGGCACGCUCACACACCCAAAGGCAAGUUUUGGACCUGCACUGGAGUUAAGCAGAUCUCCCAGGCCUCGUGUUUUUACAUCAACAAUUAUAAAAGUAAUUUGUAAGUUUUCAUCAUAAUAUAAUCAUGUUAGAUCUUGUUGUAAAGAUUUAAUUGCAACGAACACAAUGGUGUAAUCGGAUUGUAGACCGGAUAAGUAAUUUGAGAGAAAAUUUUAUAAGAAGGGAAAAAAGACAUGGAUGCCUAACAUUCUGAUGCUUCUCUCAAAUUCUAAACUCUGAUGCUUCUCGACUAAAUCGGAUGGCCGCGCCAGGUAUCACUGCGUAAGACCAGAUCAAGAGGCCUCUCGUUAUAGAUUUUACGUUUUCUUCUAUAAAAGGCAAAAUAUGGAUGGAUGCUAUUAUUCUAUAUUUUUAUAAUAAAAGAGAUAAAUGUGUUUCAAAUCUACAGUCCAUUUGGCUGUUAACGGUCGUUAAGUGCAAACUUUAGGUAUUAAUUCAUGCAUAAAAGAUAUCAAAUAUAUUAUCAAAACUUAAUCGUAGUAGUUUACUACUAAUCACUUCCAAUAGUUUUAGUAAAUAUAUGUAUGCAGGUCAUUUAAUGAGAAAAUACACUAGUCAUGCGAUGAAAAUGACCCUCCAACCAAUCAUGCACGAGUACCAGGAUUAGAGGGCCCACCUGACAAAUGAAACCGACUUAAAGUGGGGCCAAACCAUCCUAACCGCGAUAAGGGCCCACCAAUCAGUCUCCUAGUCAACAGAGAAGACUAGGAGGUGGAGCCCAGGGGUCACCCGAACCCCUGGUUCAGCUGAACCACCUCUGGCGCAUCUCAUCCUAGCCUUCCAUGUCUAGGUCCCAAAUGGCUUUCCAAUGAUGGUUAUGCCCGAUUCUCGGCCUGGAUAACUGUUACAACCGUCAUAUAGAGGCUAUAAAAGGAGGAGCUCAUGCACCUUCAACACACACAACUUGAGCUCAACUAGAGUAUAGCUCACUUGUAGUUUAAUAUUUAGUAUGUUGGCUUAGUAGAGAGUGAAGGGAAGCUCUAGAAGGAAUUCUCCAAAAUAUCAAAGUUCCUCCAAGAAUUUCACGAAGGAGUGCCGGAGUGUUAACAUUCUUGCAACGGAGUUUCGAAGAAAGUCGGAAUUGUCAGCCAUCUUCUCUCGCUUGUACCUCGACAGAUGGUUCUUUUGUCAAAGUAAGUGUUCGAGUUUCUUUAUGUUCUUUAAUUAGUUUAUUUAAGAGAGUUAUAUUCUCAUCGGUGCAGGUUUGUCGCUUAGUGUGCAAUUUAGUGCUCUAGUACUAGGACUCUGGAUAAAGAAGGAACUUCCUUUUUGAGUUAAUGCAAGCUGUUGGGUGUUGAGUCAAUCAGUGUAGAAAAACAAGGGUUAAUUGAAUCCAUGCCACUACAAAUGUGUCAAAUCAGAAAAACGCCACUACAAUUCGUGAUAUCCACUUGGUGCUACUGAAAUUUUGUAAAAUUAUAAUCAUUUCUUCGCCGUUCACUUUUCUGUCAUCCUCGUAAGAUCCACAUCCCUUCCCCAUCCGCUGUCGUGCCCUCCUUCUCCGGCGUACGCUAGAGAGACGAAGACGAGCAAGAUGCGUGGCGAGCGAGCGGCCGUACUGGCGAGCGGUGGGACCAGCAAGCGGCGGGAUGCGCAUCCCGCUUGCCGCCGCCCUCACCGACGAGCUCUCCUCCUGCUCCGCCCCUUCCCCAUCGCCAUCGUUCCCUCUGUCUCCUCCGGCACAGGCUGGAGACGAAGACAAAGACGACGAGCGGCGAGCGAGAGGUGGGACCAGCAAGCUGCGGGAUGGGCGUCCUGCUCGCCGCUGCCCUUGCCGAGGAGCUCUCAUGCCCUCCUGCCCCUUCCUCAUCGCCGUCGCGCCCACUUCCUCCUCUGGCGCAGGCUGGAGCCCAGACGAAGACGACAAACGGUGAGCGAGUGGCGGGAUGCGUGUCCCACUCGCCGAGGAGCUCUCAUGCCCUCCCGCCCCUUCCCCAUUGCCGUUGCACCCACCUCCUCCUCCGGUGCAGGCUAGAGCCCAGACGAAGACGACGAGCGGUGAGCGAGUGGCGGGAUGCACGUCCCGCUUGCCGCCGCCCUCGCCGAGGAGCUCUCCACCCGUCCCGCCCCUUCCCCAUCGCCAUCGUGCCCCCUUCCUCCCUCGGCACAGGUUGGAGACGAAGACGAAGACAACGAGCAGCGGUACCGGCGAGCGGCGGUGGGAUGCGCGUCCCGUCCUACCCCUUCCCCAUUGCCGUUGUGCUCUCCUCCUCCUCCGGCGCAGGUUGGAGACGAAGACGAAGAUGACGAGCGGCAGGACAGGCGAGCGGCGUGGUGCGCGUCCCGCUCUCAGCCGCCCUCGCCGAGGUGCUCUCCACCCGUCCCGCCCCUUCCCCAUCGCCGUCGUGCCCUCCUCCUCCUUUGGCGUAGGCUAAAGCCCAGAGGCGAAGACGACGAGCGGCGAGUGAGCAGCAGUACCAUCGAGCGGCGGGGUGCGUGUCCUGCUCGCCGCCGCCCUCGCCGAGGAGCUCUCCUGCCCUCUUGUCCCUUCCCCAUCGCCGUCGUGCCCUCGUCCUCCUUCGACGCUGCUUGGAGAUGAAGACGACAAGGAGAUGAAGGCACCGUGACAGAAAAUGUGACAAAAAUGACGGAAAACGUGAUGGAGUGUCAUGGUUCUAAUUUUAGAAGAUUUCAGUGGUAUCUACCCUGUCGAGGGAAGACCCUCAAUAGCGGGGAGUCGUGAGACCCUCCUUUCGUGAGUUCGGCCGGAGGCUCGUCUCUCGUUAGUCGCUUGCUCGUCCCUACGACUCUCAGGAGUGAAUGCACGCAGUCGGAUUAUACAGGUUCGGGCCGCUAUUGAGCGUAACACCCUACUCCUGUGUUUGGGAUUAUGGAUGAGUUUUACAAGGGUUUUUUUUCCUUGAGAGAGCGCACUUGCUUCCUCUCUUCUGGAGUUCGGGUUUUCUUUUUCUUUUUUUGGCCCUCUCCCCCCUCCUUUUCUUUCCUAGGUGGGCAGGGUCCUCCUUUUAUAGCUUAAGGGGAUACCACAUGUGCCACCUCUACUUCCCCUCCAUGGGGGGGGGGGGAAACCCCACUCCACCUUUUUGGGUUUCAAACCGUGCCUUCUCUCGGAAGCUAACCAAUAACCGAUUCUUGCGCGGAACUCGGCGCCGUCCCCCCUGACACGGGGGUCAGCCCUGUCAUUCCCUUAUAAAUGAACGAUGACAUGCAACAGCCCUUCCUCGAGUAGCGUCCGGAUGUGACGGGUCAUACCCACCCCCACUCCGCCGGGGACAAGGGCGACAUGAGGACAUGAUUGCCUUAUCCAUCGGAUGGGACGGAGACGGGCCGGUCACAAACCGGUCAUACCCGAUGGACAGGGGUUAGCUAGGCGCGCCGCACGUCUGUCCUGACCGCAUUAAAUGCGGUGAGGGACAGUUGGGGCGUCGCACAUUUAUGGCUAUUCAGCCUGCGCUCCCUUCUUGCUCUCUCUCUCUCUCUGCCGCGCGGCAGCCGAGCGAGGGCCUCGGGGCGAAGCCGCGGGAGAGCCCGAGGGGGUGACGUCAUGCCCCGAGGCCCCCCCCUCCCGCGCUUCUACGACUCGCGUGGCGCGCGAGUGGGGCCAACCUGCGGAGUCACGUGGCCGGAAGGAAAAUAAUUCUCCUCUACUCCACAUACCCCCGGGCCCAUAUCUCCGACAUACCCGAUUUCAUGAAUAGUAGUGGCAUUUUUCCAAUAUGGCAUAUUUACAAUGGCAUGGAUCCAAUUAAGGGAAACGAAUGGGCCAUAUUGUUAACAUUUGUGCUUGAGAAGCCUACGAGCCCAGGAGGCCGAAACUUCAUUUCAUCACAGAAAAAGUACACAGAAGGUCCCUCAACUUGUCAUCGAGUUACAAAAUCAUCCCUGAACCAUAAAACAAGAUAUCCGGCGUCCCACAACUAAUCAAAACCGGUCACUUUAGGUCCUUCGGUGGUUUUGACCCUAGAUUUAUCCAACGUGGCGUCUGAGUCAGCGUGGGACCCACGUGGGCCCCCACGUGUCAGUAUGCCACAUCAUCAUCCUCUCUCUCCCCUCCUCUCCACUCUCCCUUCCUCCUCCUCCUCUCUCUCUCUCACUCUUCUCUUCUCUUCUCUUCUCUUCUCUAGGCGAGCUGGCCAGCAGCUAGGGAGGAGGCCGCCAGGGCGAGGCAGGAGAGGAGGAGGCAGCGGGCGGCGGCUGUGACGCGGGGGAAGGUCGUUGAGCAGCGAGCAGCAGGGAACAACAGAGGCUGAGCACGUUGGCGCACACACGCAGCUUCAGCGCGUCGCGUGGGCACGACGACGACCCGGUGCUGGCCGCCACGGCCAUGGUGAGGAGGCUCACCGCUAGAACAAGCACCGCCUUCGCCGCCAUUGCUAUAGAUCGAGCUUUGCUAGGCUGCUAGCUUGUACUUGUAGCUAGCUCGAGCUUGCACUGCUACUGCUGCUUUGCUGUGUGCUGGGCCUGGGAGUGUUCAUGGCGAGGUGUAUUGUGUAUUUAUAGUGGCCUUGGAGAAGAAGAUGAGAGGAAGCGACGGCGCGGGAGCACCGGACCAGGAGGGCCUCCCCCCACGCCGCCCCCACCGCCACCGCCACCGCAACCGGCAGGUGGGAAGGAGGCCGACGGGGCGAAGCGGGGAGGCCGGUGAGUCUGCAAAGUCGCAGAUGAUGCCGCCGUGAUGAGGUGCUCCUCCUCUUCGACGGAAACGGGGAGCAGGCCCACGCCAUGGGCGUCGAGCUCGACCUCUCCGACAAGCCCGCCGGGCUCGACGUCCGGUCUCGCCGCUACGCGUUCCUGGCAGAGGACGGCGCCCACUGGGUCUAGCCGAUGGCUGCCACUGCCAACGUCAAGCUCCUCUCCGACGGCCGCUGCUUCUUUCCCCGCUAGUCUUCGCCAGCUAGCGUCGCUGCUGCCAACGAGGGCCAACACCGCCAAGUUUAGGAGGACGCGCGGGCGACCGCUGGAGUCGCCUCCCGUCGAGCAGAGCGGAGAGCGAGACGACGCAAGGCGAGGGCGAGGAAGAGGCUGUCGCCGGUGGCGCCGCCGCCGCGUCCGUCUCCACCUCCGCUCCUCUCCCCGCCCAUCGUCAGCCUAGCCCCGCUCCUUCCUCGCCGCCCGUCGCGCCGGCCCUCCUUUCCACUGCACUCCCCCCUGCUGGCCGCCAGCCACGCCCGCCGCACACGACCCUCCUCCCCUGCCGGCUGCUAGAUGCCCCCGCCGCACACGCUGGGCCAGGGCCUCCUCCCAUGCUGGGCACCGGCCGUGCCCGUCGCGCUGGCCCUCCUCCCCUGUUGGCCGUCGGACACGCACGCCGCACUCGCCGCGCAGGACCUCCUCCUCCGCCAGCCGCCUGCACUCAUCCCCUUCCGGCCGUGAUCCUGCAGAGGAGAAGUGAGAGAGAAAGGAAGGGAGAGGAGCUUACGUGGCAUCCUGACAUGUGGGCACAUAUGGGUCUCAUACUGACUCAGCCGUCACGUAGGAAAAAACUGGGGUCCGAGGGACCUAAAAUGAACGGCUCUGUGAGUUGAGGUACGUCGAAUACCUGGUGUGGUUCGGGGAUGAUUUUGUAACUGGAUGACAAGUUGAGGGACCUUCGGUGGACUUUUUCCUUUCAUCACCGGGCGGCAGUCCAACGGCCGGAAAAACCAGAGAGAGAGAGAGAGAGAGGAGGAAAAACAAAAACAAAUCAAAACCCUAACACAUCCCAGCGGCCUCCUCCGCCAUGCCAUCGCCGCCGCCGCCGCCGCAGCCGUCGCCGCCGGAGCUGCCGAUCUCGGAGCACGAGGACGAGAUCAUGGCUGCGGUGGAGGCGAACCCAGUGGUGGUGGUGAUCGGUGAGACCGGCUCGGGGAAGAGCACCCAGCUCUCCCAGAUACUCCACCGCCGCGGCUACACCCGCCGUGGUGCCAUAGCCGUCACCCAGCCCCGUCGCGUCGCCGCCGUCUCGGUUUCCAGGUAACCCGACUCCGUGCUUCGCUUGUCUUCCCCCACGGUGGCACGGUCGCACCUGCGCGCGCUCGUUGUUAUCUGCUACCUGGGAGUUUAGUACAACUUCCCCCUUUCUAUUCAUGUUGUUAUUUUCAAAUGUUGGUUUCCUUUUAGCUCAGGGUACAUUCUUACUGGGUUCGUGUGGGUCUGGUUAUGCCUGAAAAGCUCUCAGAUGUGUUGGAUUUUGGCCAUUAGCACUUAAGGGAUACGAAAAUUGCAGAUUCAUCUUGAAAUUUAGAAUCGUGAUGGUGGAGAUACGAGAACAUCGUUUGUAAAAACUGCAGCUGCUUUCUGGAUAGCCAAGCCAUUUAUUUUAAUUUAGAAGUGUUUUAAGGGGAGAAAACUUAAGAACCUGCUUGUUAAGAAAUUUUGAAGUGGUUCUUCCUGGCGAGCAGCACUAUGUUUACAGCAUAUGCAUAUUUAUACAUGUACAGAGAAGAAUAGUUUUCCAGUGUAGUCUUGUGCUAUGCCUAUAUUCAAGUGUGGAAAAUGUUUUUUAGGAUGCCAUUAUGAAUGCUGGCAAUCUGAAUAUUUGCAGGAGAGUAGCACAGGAGCUCAGUGUUCCCCUUGGUGAUGAAGUUGGUUAUGCCAUCCGAUUUGAAGAUAGAACUUCAGAGAAAACCUGCAUAAAGUAAGCCUCAGAGGGUGUUUAUGUGACUUGAAUUUCUUCUUGAACAAUAUGCGAACUCAUUCUAUUUUCGGAUAUGCAGGUACCUGACAGAUGGUGUUCUUCUGCGCGAAAGCCUUUCAGACCCUGAGUUGAAGCAGUAUUCAGUAAUUAUUCUGGAUGAAGCUCACGAGCGCAGUUUAAACACGUAUGCGUUUUAUAUGUUCAACUGAUCUAUAAGAGUUUGAAUUAAAGUUUAGCACUUUAUCAAGUUUGCUGCUUACUCUUCAGUUAUUCCACACCCAUUUCUUGUUGUUUGAAUUGAAAACUUGUGAUUUGAAAACAAAAUAAGAUAAUUACCGGGAAUGGGUCAUACACUACAUUUAGUUAUAGUAAUAUGCUAAACUUUUGUUGCUUAUACACUACAUAGAUUUACCCAAGAUUGAUUGCAUGCCUGUUGAACUUUUGUUGCUUAUGUGUCCGGUUUUUGGAACAGUGAACAAAACAGUGCUGGGAAGCCAUUCUGUGUGCCAUGAAACUGGGAGUCAACAUAAAUGUAUUGGUUAUAUUUGGUCUUCCUGUACCUAUUUUAUAUAAAUCAACUUAGCUUUGCCUUUUCUUCUGAUGCGUUCUUUCUCUACUGCUAGGAAUUAGUACCUAUACGAUAUUUUCACUCACAAGUAAUGUAGACAUCUAGUAUGUGUUCUCAAAAUUGACUUUGAUAUAAUCGAUAGUUCUCUAUAUUAGAUGUUUACCUGGACAACUUUGAAUGGGAGGGCCUCGGAUCGCAAAUGCCUAGUAACUAUUUACUAACUGUAGGAUGCAACUUUACUGUGGUUUUCGUUCUCCAUAUUUUGCCCAUAUUUAUUAUAAUUGGUUCUCAGAUGCUUCAAUUGUAAGCUAGCAAUUGUAUUUUUAAAGUGAUCGAUAGUCAGUACUAACUUUUUCUUGUUUGGCAUCGGCCACACGACCGCUGGAUUUUGUUGCUAUUUGUUGAAAGCUUUAGUCGCGUUCUGAUAUUUGUUUGUUUACAGUGAUAUUCUUCUAGGUUUAAUGAAACGAUUAAUUAAGGAUCGAGCUUCAGAUUUGAAAGUUCUGAUCACUUCUGCUACUCUUGAUGGUUUGAAAGUGUCAAAGUUCUUCUCUGGAUGUCCUGUGUUGAAUAUCCCUGGAACCUUAUUCCCUGUGGAGAAGUUUUACAGCACAGAACAUCCAACGAAUUAUAUAGAAUCUUCUCUGAGAACCGCUAUAGGUAAUUAUCAUUUUCUUUAUGUGGCUAUAUUUUAAACCUUGACAAUGACAUGUGAAUAUUGUUGGUGCAUCUCUAUUAAGUCACUAUGUGUUAUUUCACUACUGGAAUACAUCAAUCAUUGUCAUAACAGAUAAGCUAUGUAACAAAUGUCAUGGAUGGUUUUGAUAUGUGCCCAUGAAUGGGCUAGCAUUAUAGUGGCAAGAGGGUAACUAGGCCAGUUUCCCUUGAAUCUCUCUUACAGUAUUCGUCCUGCUAUGGUCAAGUUGGAUGGACAAAUAAUGUAAAAAAAAAAGAUGAAAUAAGUGCUGGACCUGCUACACCUAUGAAUAACCUCUUUAAAGCUCUGGCGAAUUUGGGAUGUGUCUGUAUCUGAUGGCUCUUAUUUAUGUUAAGUACACUCCGCACUGGUUUUACUAACAUUAUAAAACAUCAUUUUAAAAAACUACUUUUUUUAAAGCCAUAUCUUGGGAUACCAUCAUGGUUGUUAAGGCGCCCCUAAGGCGGUAAGGCGCUGCCUCCGCUUUACGGGAAAAACUAGAGAAAGGGCAAAAUCAAGGGGAUAAACCAAUCCUGGAGAAGGAGCGGCAGCAGGGGAAGGGGGAGGAAUGAAAAUAGCUGACCUAUGUGGUUGUCGCUGUCGUCCCCGACCACUGGCAAAGCCAGAUCCACCUUCCUCGAUGCCCAGCACCACCUGAUGAUGAGGAGCGGUGGCGGCAGGGGAAGAGGGAGGACCAGAGGGGAUGGACGCGACGGCUGCGGAGAGGUCUUGCCGUCGGUGGCAGUGGAGCGGAGGCGAGUAGGUGGCGCCGAUGGGAUUGAGGAUGGGGAUGGGGACGGGGAUGGGGAUGGAUAGAUAAAUAUCUGUCACCAUCUUCCAUUUUAGUCCUUGGACUCUAGAUAUUACAAAGAAGUCCUUCAUUUCCUAUUUUCAUCUUCCAUUUUAAUCCUUGGACUCUAGAUAUUACGAAAAAGUCUUUCAUUUCCUAUUUUUCUAUCUGUAUAAGGCGUUGCCUCGCCUUAUGCCUUACUGCCUAAGGUGUAAGGUGUGCUGGGUCCUCGCCUUACGCCUUACCGCCUUAACAAUACCAUGAUUUUUUUAACGAAAUACACAUAUUAGUGUCAGAGGAGUAUGUCUGCUGACAUAUGAUUUAUAUUCAUGCUGGAAAAAUCAAAUUUUUUAUUAUUUGAAAAUAAUAACAAUAUAUUUUGUUAAACUUUUGGGCCAUGGUGUUUCAUAUUUGCUUAACUAUUUGAUAUCUAUACUCCUUUAAAAGAAGACAAUGGUGGUGGCAGUGAAUCUGCCACCCACCAACUCUGUUGUAUUUUUUUACCAACUACUCCUAUGUGUACUUUAAUUUUAUAAAACAGUACUUCUACAUAUUGUUAAUAUCUUAUUUCAUCCCUAGAAUUUAUGUUUACCAUGCAAAGACAUCCACAGGGAAUCAGGGAUGAUAUUGUUCCAAAAAUCUUACAAUUAACUUGUUCCAAACAAUGUUAGCACAUGUAUAAUUCAUUUUUAUCCAUAGCAAAUCACAGGUAUUUAGCUAGUGUUUCUAACAGUUCCAAACAUUCUUUUUCUUCAACAGAUAUUCAUGUUAAGGAAUCCCCUGGUGAUGUCUUAAUAUUCAUGACAGGAAAGGUUAGCAGAAUAUAUAUUUUUUUUGCAUGCUUGAGCUUGAUGUUUCUGAAACUUUGAAGGAUAUUUUUUUUGUUCUAUUUGACACUAAGGAUAUCGUCAGAGAUAUGCUAUAAAAUCAGUAAUACUCCUGGAUUUUUGGGCUUUCAUCUAGUUAUAAUUUAAUGCCCCAAAACAGCCCCGUGUUUACUUUAUUGUAUAUCUCUACUACUUAAAAGCGGAGUCCUCCUCCUUACUCUUCUUCCAUCGUGUAAUCAGUUGUAUCUCGAUUCUCCCUCCAUCCCUUCUCUCACCCCACCGCCCAUAAGUGGUUGGGUCUCGAUUCACACUCCCAACCCAUCCCUAGUCAUAUGGGCCCAUGCAACCCAUUCUAAUCAUAUGGGCAUGUUGCAAUGCAUGGGCAUGUUACUAGUAUGGCAAAAAAACACAACGUUUACUGGUCUGUUUUUGGAACACUGAUUAACUAAACAUUUAUGGAUCAAUGGAUGAUCUCCAUUUCUUUGCUAAACUUUUCUCCCUUUCUUUUGUUGUACUCCGUACUUACACAGACCUUUUGAAUUAAUUGAAUGGUAUUUUGUCAGGAUGACAUUGAUAAGAUGGUAUCAAAAUUGGAGGAAAGAAUUCAAAAUCUAGAGGAAGGUUCUUGUAUGGAUGCUCUUGUCCUUCCACUUCACGGUUCUUUGCCACCUGAACAACAGGUAAUUCAUUAAUCUUCCAUUCUAGUGUAUUGUUAUAUUUGUUUCUUGCAUAUAUGACAUCCCAUGAAUGCUUGUAUAUGACAUUUUGGACAUGUAUGUGGUCUCCAAUAUGCGCCUUUGAAUACUUUGUUUGAUUAUGCUCAUGAAAAUUUCGUGGAGCUUUUAUAUUACUACCUCCGUUCUUUUUUGGUGACUUUUGGGACAUGACAUAGUCAUAAAAUUCAUUAUUGAUAGCGAUAUGAAAGUAUUCUUCAUGACGGGCCUAUUAAUUUCAUUUUCACCUAUAAAUCUUUUAGGUAUUCUUCAUGACAGGCCUAUUAAUGUCAUUCACCUAUAAAUCUUAUAGCGAUUAGGAGGUGUUUGCAUUUGUUUAUGAGUCAAGAUUCCAAGGUUUGACUGCACACGUUCUAAAACAUCAUCUGUUUGAGAAUAGACGGAGUGUGAAAUACUAUUAUUAACAAAUUUGAUAAUGUCAACUUCACCUGAAAUAUGUUUUUUAUAUACUGAUGUUUGAAUUUAAGGAAAUUUGAGUGUAUGUUUUAGAUUAUAAUACAAAUUUGAACAGAGAAUAUAUUUUAAUCUUUCAGUUACUUAAUCAAUUUAAUUUUUCGUAUAUGAGCUUAUCUAGUGAUCCAUAGCUACUGAACCUAAUAAACACACCUGGCCAUGUUUCUUCUCCAUUUCUCUAAUUGAUCAAUGAAGCUUGGCAUUGCAAUGUACAGUUCCUACACUAUUGCAGCUAAGUGAAAUUUCUUAGCAGGCAAAAGUCUUCUGAACAAGCCUUACAAUUACUUAUCUAGUAGUAGAUUAUAUUAAAGCAAAAUUUGUAAGAUUUUGUGAUGUCACUGAAAAAAAUUGCCAACUAGGAAUAUUUCAAUGUUUAUUUUUCCUUUUUUGUUGUGUGUAUUGCUUGCUGUUGAUCGACUUUCUUGGGGGACUAGAGUAUCUUUUUUAUUCUGUGCUUGCUGCAUUGCUGCAACAGGAUAACCUUGGAUGAUAUUUAACCAACCCCCUAACAAUAUAUGGCUAUGAUAGCAAAAUUUAACUACCUGGGGAUCACGUUCUAACAAAUGGAUGCACUGAUGGAUGCGAAUUAUAAUAGGCUCAACUGAGAGUUGAAAAGCAAGGUCGAUCCCGAUUUGUUGCCAAAGCUGCUGUUUUGGUCUAAUCUUUUUGGGUUUAAGCACACUUAUUAGUAUUUAUAUUCAUUAAUUGUCCUUCAUUCCAUUUGUUGGUAAAUGUUUGAUGCUCUAUAGUAUCAUUGCUGAUGUAUUCCCUUGUCACAAUAGGUCCGGGUAUUUGCUCCAGCACCUCCAAAUUGUCGACGCUUCAUUGUUGCAACAAAUGUAGCUGAAACAUCUCUUACUGUGGAUGGUGUUGUGUAAGCAGCAAACUGCAAACAUAGUCAGUUAAAGUGCACAUAUACUUUCAGUUUCCAUCUUCAGCCUUUUUUAUUUAUUUAGUGAUAGAUUAUUGUGUUUAUGAUGUAUUUAGCUGAUUUUGUGGAAAAGUAUAUGCAAAUAAAUACUUUUUUUAGAGUUAUGCAAGGAAAUGGCUAGAAUUUUUGUUAUGAACUACUAGUAACAUGCUAUUAAAUUUAUGAGAGUUACAUCAACUGAUCUGCUAGUAUCAGUUUUUGAAGUGUAUUUUUGUAAAAAAAAAUGGUAGGAGCAAAUGGCUAUAAUAUCAUUAAAUUCACAUGAAUGCUUAUAUUCUUAAACUUAAAAGGAAAAAAAUAUAUGGUUUAUAUGUUGAAUUCACAAACUAAUUAUCUAUUUGAUUUUAUAUAAAAGAAAUAUGCAUAACUUGGAGAUACCUUGUACAUGUCUAGGAGGAAAAAGCUUGAAUAUAGCUUUGCCACUCGCUCUUUAAUGUACGUACGAAGUUGUGAUUUGAGUAUGAUCUUUCAUCCUGAGAAAUUAGUGUUACGAUUAAAAUAAUGUGCUGAUGAACAUUUGUGAUUUCAUUAGCUGUUUUGUUAAUAAAUAAGAAACUGCUGAACUGAUAUUGCGUUAUCAAAAUUUGCAAUCUUUCUAUUACCCUGCUGAACUUGGAAUGGCUGCAAUUUUGUUCUUGGAGACGUGUUUUUUCCUUUUUCUUUUGGGUUUGUAUGCAAAUCACUAAAAUAUUUUUUUAUGCACUAGGUUUGUGAUUGAUUGUGGUUAUGUAAAGCAACGCCAGUAUAACCCAUCGUCUGGAAUGUAUUCACUUGACGUAGUUCAGAUUAGCAGGUAAAUACUAUGUUGCACACACUGUGGUUAUCUGUCUACUGUCUUCAUCUGUUCAACUAGAUCAUGAUCCUGUUCAGAGAUAUCUAGUUAUGAUCCAUAAUAUUUACCAUACUACUUCUUGAAUAACAAGAGUGCAGGCUGACCAGCGAGCUGGGCGAGCUGGAAGAACUCGGCCUGGGAAGUGCUAUAGGUUAUACCCAAUUUCCAUUUAUCAAAAGGAGUUUCUCGAGGCUACAAUCCCAGAAAUCCAGCGUUCUUCUCUUGCCGGAAGUGUUUUGUAUCUAAAAUCGUUAGAUCUACCUGAUAUCAACAUACUGAAGUUUGAUUUCCUUGACCCACCAUCUCGUAAGAUAAAACUCCAGAAUUCUCUAUUCUUAAUUAUAGCUCUUCAAUCUUCAUCCAUCUUUAAUGCUUUUUUGUUGUUAGAAAUCACUUUAUCUAUUGGAUUAGCUCCAAAAGGCAAACAUAGACAACGGCCAUUGGCAAAGGAAAACGAGAAGAACACCCUAAUCUACAGAAACUAGAUAUAUACUCCCUUCGUAUAUAAAUAUAUGAUCCCAUUGACUUUAUUCGUUCAAUUUUGGAAAGUUUUACCAUCAAUAGCUCUCAAAAUAUUUAUUUUGAAAACAUAAAAAAUCAUAUCGGUAGGUUUUUCUUUACAAGUACUUUUACAAUAUUAUAAUUUGUUAGAUAUUAUCGUUAUAUUCUAAUAGACAAGUAGUGGUCAAAGUUGCACACCAAAGAUUGAAUAAAGUCAAUUGCCAUAUAUUUGAAUACAAAUGUAGUGCUAUUCACAACAUAAGUAGCUGUUGGUAAAAUCUUGGUUCUGCAUGGUUUAACUUAAGUUAUUACAUUUAUUGUUCUAGGUCCAGCCUCCACCCAAAUACUUUCAUGGUGGCUGGACGAGCCUAUUUCAAAAGGCAUAUGACCUACUCCUUCCGUCCCAUUUUAAGUGCAAUCAUGAGGUUUCGUGCCCAACUUUGAUUGUCCGUUUAUUUGAAAUUUUUUUAUAAUUAAUAUUUUCAUUGUUAUAAGAUGAUAAAACAUGAAUAGUACUUUAUGUGUGACUUAUGUUUAUAAUUUUUUUUCCAAAAAACUUUCAAUAAGACAGACGAUCAAAGUUGGACAUAGAAAAUCAUGGCUACACUUAAAAUGGGACAGAGAGAGUACUAACCUUACGCUCCAUUUGGCACUGUGGUGGAUUAUGAUAAUAUCUUUUGAUGCACCUGUUUUAGGAGUUGAUGCCCGCUAACUCCUAAAGCCCAACAUGCAAGUGUGCCACAUGAUCACCCUCUAGCAUUUAUUAUCUAGAAUAUUUUAAAUCACAUGCAAGUGUACCACAUCAUCAUCCAUAGCAGUUAUUAUCUAGAGUAUUUUAAAUGUCAUGCAAACAUGACAUAUCAUUUACAAUUUUGUUGUAUUUUUAGAACUCAAUAUGCAAGCAAUGUCAAAUCAUUAUUUCCACAUCAUUUUUACAUUAUUUAAACAUAUACAUAUACCAUUUAUACAAUGUACAAUAUGCAUUCAUCCACAUAUCCCGCAGCAAAGCGCGGGGAUAUCAACUAGUAGCUUACUAUUCCUGUUUGGUAUCAGGAGAUCCUCAGUGAAACUGCAUCCACUUCUUUGCCUGUACAAAUUGUCUUGUGAAAUAAAAACUAGUAUUGUCUAUCUCUUACCUUUGAUGCACAAUGACCUGCAGGUGAAUCAUUAGAAGAUGCUUUGAGGCAAUUAUACCUCAUCGAUGCAAUUGAUGAAAAUGGGCAAAUAACAGAUGUAGGACGAAUUAUGGCAGGUAUUCUCAGCUUGCUUGUCCCAUUUCAAUUGAAAUGAAAUCAGGUGGUUAUUUGAGUUUGUCUUCACUCUUGAACAAUGUAUGCAAUUAAAGUUUGAUCAAAUCACGAGCAUAUCUGGUUUCUUUUUCUUUUAUUUGAACUUCACAUGGUCUAAUUUUAUUUGUUGCAUACCAAUAUAAUAUUGUUGUAUCUUUAGUUCAAUAUGUGCAUGUGCGUUUUUGAUGACUCUGUUAGCACAUCCAGCACAUGAAGUAACUGUUGAUGUGUGGAGCGGCAGCAUGAACAGGGAUGAUCAUUUUCUGUGUUUGUCAUCUUCUUUUUGUUAACCUUUUGGCUUUAUUUUAAGAAGUUUAUACUCUUAAAUAUGUAACGGUCUAACCUCUAAUGUUCUAUAUAAGGAGGCCAUACCUGGCAAUGUUUUGAUAUUUCAAUUCAGAAAUGUCUGAUAUAUACAACUGUUAAGAGGUCUAAUGUUUUUGUGCAAAGCUUCAGGCAGUUUAUGUUGACAUUGUUGUUUUAUUGGUAUUUCUAACAGGAAUACUUACCUAGUAGCCUCCGGUCAGAUUACUGCGUUUUGGGGAUUUUUCUUUUUUUUUUACCCCUCCAGUGUUUGCCGCGUGUUAAACUGUUUUCUUUCCUAGCUGUGACUGGCUCUUUUUUCUCUUAAUGACGUAGCUGGUGUCCAGUUUUGUUUGUUGACGUUUCUACAGGGGUUUCGUAUACGUGCCGGUCUUUGGGUUUUUACAAUUUUUGUAGUUGACUUGCUUACCUGGUUAUUUCUGCUCUGCGUGUUUUUUCCUUGGUGUGUUCGGCUGCUGCUUGUGCACGGCUUGUGUUUGCAUGCGUCCUGCACGUGGUGCCAUGCGCUUGUGUGUGUAGCCUCGUGGGUGUGCCCAUGCUGUCUUACGUGGCUGCUCCCAACCCUUUUGUUUCUACUCCUAUUUCUUAUUUUCUUUUUCCCUUUCAUAUAUUUAGCCUUGAUCGUCCCAAAGUUUUUCAUGCUUGCUGUAUGUUACGUUUCCUUAAUCAACGUUGUGUUGUCAUCUUCGGUUGCUAGGUCGCGUUGUGCUGCUGUUCGGUGCCGUUCUUGUUUUGAUCUUCAAGCUGGCAAUGGUCUGUUUAUUGUUUCUUGUUUUACUUUUAUAAUUUGUACAGUUUUUUUUCCUUAUACUACAACCGUGUGUUUUUCCUCCCGUUGACUCAAAUCCUUUUUGUGUUCACACUUCACAGUGUGUUCUCCGAUAGAAUUGCUAUCGUUCUCUUAAUUUUGCUUUGCACUUAUGCGGGUAUGCCACUGGUUGCUUGGCGCUACAUAUAGUUUGUGCUGGAUGAUUCUGAUGAUUCUAUUGUUGCCUCUUCAUUGAGCAUGAAGGUAGCAGCAGGAAUCCGUCCACAUAUACCCCAUGCCAGGUAGCCUGAAAUGUCUACAGGGCUAGAAAUCUCAAUAAUUCUCAUCUCAUCCAUGAGCUGAAGGAAUUUAAAAGAUUAUGAGUUUGGGUUUUUUUGUACCAUCCUUGAGAAAUAUGUUGAAGUACCAAAAAUUUUUAUGUAAAAUUAGUAUCUCGAGGUAUCAAAAUUUUACACUACAAAAUAUAGUAUCUCGAGUUUUGUCUUUUCCACUGGUUUCCAACCAGAAGCAGCCUUCAGGAGUGUAUAGUGCACUUUUUUCGGUUUCAAGGUAGUGCCAUGGUUUCUUACACUUAUCUAAGUGCAAUUCCAGGUCAAGGAAAACUCCAUUCCUAAUCUGUUAUCUGAUCAACUGAUAAAGCAAUGAACCAGAUGGAUUUGUUCUCGCAAGAUGCUUGUUGGGCAUAGACUAGUUUACUAAGCUAGAAAACGUACUAUAUCUAUGCUUGCUUUAAUGCUUUGAAGUGGAACAACAGGCUAAUAUGGAACCACAUGAGAGCGAACGGAAAGCAUAUUUGGAUUUUAGGGGUUUUUACAACAAAGAGUGAAUUUUUUAGUUAAUCACGGCACAUAUGCAUGUUUACAAGUUUCUAUAAGCAAUAUUAUAUGAUAGUUGAUAUUAACCUGUGCUGUGAUCAUCAUGUGUGGAUGUGCGAUCAUCAAGUUUCUAUAAGUUGAUAUUUUAUCUUACAUUAGCCAUGUGUGGAUUGUCAUCAUGUGUAUAAAAUAUUUUUAGUAUUCUUUUAGGCCAAAUAAAACUGAAGUGAAACGAGUAAUUGCCUGAGCGCGGCGUGUCGCCGCGUGGGCACGUCUAGUUUUUUAAUGUCUGGUGAGUUUUUGUGUAGUAAGAUUUGUUCCCUGUGCAAUGGCCAUAGUUUUCCUCUUGUUUUGUCUUGAGUAUGAGCCGUUUACAUGUCUAUAUAAUGUUUGGAAUUUGAAUAUCUCCACAAUGUUAUAGAACCUGUCUUGGGAACAAGCUGUUGCUUUUGUAAUGAUCUGGAAAUUUCCACAGUUUUGUACUAUCUGCUUCUAAUUUUCUAGAUAUAUGAUAUUUAUUGGGAAAAUUUUGUAUUUGCAACUAGUAACUUGUCUAAUACUCCCUCUGUUUCAUAUUGUAAGAUAUUUUGGGUUUGUCAUAAGUCAAACUUCUCAAGUUUGACCAAGUUUAUAGAAAAAAAGUAAUAACAUCUACAACACCAAAUUAGUUUCAUUACUAUUUGUAUACUAUAUUUGUUUUGUGUUGAAAAUAUUGCUAUUCAUUUUUCUGUAAAACUUGGUUAAACUUAUAGAAGAAUAGAAGAUUGACUUAGGACAAACCCAUAAUGACUUAUAAUGGAAGGAAGAAGUAUCAAGUUGUCAACUAUAUAUUCGAAAACCAUUCUUUUCACAUGCCAGUGUUCCAUCAGGUCACAUUCUUACAUGACUGGUAUAUGAGAAAACUGUUGUGAGAUUUUUACUUGUAAUUCAUAACUUCUUAAAUCCUGCAAUAUGUUGCUAGGCUUGAUAACCAAUUGUUUACCUAUGUCAUCUGAGCCCAUUAGUUCCCAUAUAAAAGCAGUGGUCAAUAUCUCCAGGUCCAGCAGCAUUGCGCACAUGAACAGUACCCGCGUGGUUACUGUUCAAACGUAUGAAGCUCACGUGAUUGCUUUAAUUUAGAUUAAUGAGUUAUUUAUUACCAUGAUCUUAGAUAUAAGUUUCUUAAGAGGCAAUAUAAGGAUGGGGCUGUAUUUCUGUUCAUUAAGCAAGAGAUAAACAAGUGUCUUUAGUCUCGCCAUCUUCUUGCCUGCCCUUGUGGUACACAGCCUCCAUGGUGCCAAUGUGCCACUUGGGUCAACUAUGCCUAAGGCCCUUAUCUUAGUAAUGCCCAUUACAUGCUAUUGUAUUUUAUGAUUGUACGCGACAUGAUUUGCUAGACUAAAUAUGGUGCUUGUAGUAGAUAUAGGAGUAUGACGUGGGUGUGGGUCACUCUGUUUGUACCUGUUGACUGACUCUGGUUCAACAAAACCAAUUUUACUUUUGUUGAACUAGAGUGGGUCAACGGGUACCCACAGAGUAAUUUGUACCCAUCUAAAAGUAGCUAUAUUAUUCCUACCCCUUUACUAGAAAUGUUGCAAUUGCUUAUCUGUACUGGAGUACAUAACAGAACCUAGUGGGUACUGGGUAGCGAUGAUGCUGAAAUUGUGAGUGUGUGAUAAAUUAUGAUGGCUUCAUGAUGGACUGUUAUUCACAUGUGAUGAAUUCUGUUUGUUGGAUAUGAUUUGUGUGUAUGCCACUGAUAGAUAAAUUAUUUGUGAUGGACACAAUGUGCAAGGGUGAUGCCAAAUUUUUGUGGCAGCCAACGCACCCCCUUCUGCCUAAAAAGACUUGGUGCCAAUAACCCUUGGCUCCAGUUACCUGAUGUUGACCCAUGGCCACGUCGGGAUCCAGCGUCGCACAGCUGCACCAGGGUUGAUGGUGCUGGAAUGUUGUUUAGAAAAGAACCAGUACGUCAAAAUUCUAGUGUCAAGUAACUUAUGGACUUAUGCAAGAUAUGUUGUCCCGUGAUAUGUGUGCAGAGCUCCCUCUUGAGCCUUCUCUUUCAAGGACUUUGAUUGAAGCAAACGAAUUGGGAUGUCUAUCUCAGGCAUUGACUGUUGCUGCAGUUCUGUCAGCUGAAAUCACAUUCCGGUCAACUAGAAGGUGGGCAUUUUGUUUUGUAAUUCAUCUAAGCUACUGUAACACAUUGAAUUUUAUGGUGAACUUAUUGCACCCUUACAGCAAAGACAUGGAGGGAAAGAGGAAAAGGCAAGAGCUUCCUGAUGGUUCUGGUUGGGGCGACCAUAUACAGUUGCUUCAGAUAUUUGAAAGUUGGGAUCGAACAGGCUAUGAUCCAAGAUGGUGCUCAGAUCAUGAGUUGCAGGUGAAUGAAAAUAACAUUUUGAUUCUAAUAUGAUACAGUGAAAGGAAUAAAAUUAUUAAGUACUAGUGUUGCAAAAAUAAAUGCAACUGUGUUGGACCUUCCUGCAUAGAACAAGCCGAAUCACAAAGCAUGAUAUAAUACCUGAAUUUUAUUUUAAAUAGGUCAUCGAAGCAUGUCAUGUUAAAUGGGAACAUAUCCUAUGUACACAAGUUUCUGAUACACACUCUGUGCACAGCAAUUAACAAAUGUCUUCGAAAAUUCUAGAAAAAAUUGGACAUGCAAUCCUAAUAGUACUCCCUCCAUUUGGAAUUGAUAAGUGCAAAAGCAAAACAUUCAGAAUUGAUCAGUGCAUAAGAGCAGGUACAAUAGCAGGCUAUUAGCCGGCUAUAAACAUAUUUUAAUGAGAUAAAUGAUGAGAGAGAAGAGCAGCGGGCUACAGAUUUGUAGCCAGCUGCAGCACGGACUCCAAGACACAAUGUGUGUAUGACAGGUGGGACCAUAUAUUAAUAGUAUAGUAAGCAACUAUUGUAUGAAUUGGCUAUUAGAUUGGCUAUAGAUGAAUUGGAGCUAGUAGUGAGCUAUACUAUUGAACUUGCUCUAAGGAUGUGGUAGCUGUUCAGUUUUGCAUGUAAAUUUAUUGUUUUCCCAUGCAAGGAUUGGGUGGCUCUUUGAUUUACAUGCUAGCCAAUCAGUUUUGCAUGCAGAUUUAUUGCUUUGGCAUGCAAGGAUUGCCUGGCUCUUCGGUUCUCAUUCAAGCCAAUCAAUUGAGCAAAAAUAGGAUGCUUCAUUGAAUAAAAAUUGGCUGCUCGUCUUCUCAUUUUGCAUGCAAGUGUUCCUUAGUCUGGAGCCCAGGUGAAAUAGGUUGAUCAAAUUCGAAUGGAGGGAGUAUUACACAUAUGUGUAAAGUCUCAUCUGAAAAUUCAUUAUAUUUUAGCCGUAGCAAAAAAAGAAAAAACUGUCAGGUAUAAGAGUAUACUAUCAGAAUUUUGUCUUUUAUGUUACGUCUAAAAAUAAUUAAUUCAAACAUGAGAUUUCACACAUAGGUGUAAUACAAUUGAGAGUACAAGUCUACUUUUUUCUAGAAUUUUUGGAGAUAUUUGUUAGUUGGUGUGCAUGAAGUGUGCACCGGAAGCUUGUGUGCAUAUGAUACGUUCCCAUCUUAAAUUGCCUUUUAGCAUUUAUAGUUUUCAUGCUAGCAAUGCAAACUUUGAAACAUAUAACAAGGAUAACAUUGUGUGAUCAUCAUAUCUAUAUGCCUGCAUAUACUGUUUGUCAUGAUACUUACAGACUUUAUACCCCCUAGAUAGUUUUCUAGACAUUAGAUUACAAUGUAGAUCACAGAACUAUCUUUUGCAGGUGAGAGGCAUGAAAUUCAGCAAAGAUGUGAGAAACCAAUUAAGUCAGAUUAUUCAAAAAAUUGCAAAAGGUCGGUGAUCAGUAAUUCUAGUUUCUGUUUUAUUGUGUACCCACCCUUUCAAAAACCUACUACCUGUUUGCUUCUUCCUUUCCUGGGACACCUCUGUUGUUGAGCUGUUUUUUCCUCUUUUGUCAAUUCGUUGUUCUACUUUUUGAAUUUUAACUUCUAGGAACUACCACAAAGAUAUUGUUACAUAUGCCCUCCAUGAAGAUGUACGUCCUACCUCUAGAACCUCAGUAAUAUCCAUGCAGUGCUCGACUACAGAUGCAAUAUAACCUGAACUCAUCUUGCUCGUAUUGCAACCAAAAUAUGUAAUAGAUCCAGAGCCCAGCGCAUUACGUAUUCCAAUGUUCACUCAACUACUAUGUUUAAGUUUGGCCCGUAUAUCAAAAACUACUAAACCUACCUCUUUUUUUGUAAAUUUAGGUUCAACAGAUGUGCAAGCAAAGAAAGAGCGGAAGAGUGACCCUGAUUAUAGAAAAUUAAGGAGAGCUCUAUGUGUUGGAUAUGGUAACCAGCUCGCUGAGAGGAUGCUGCAUCACAAUGGUUAUCAUACGGUUGGAUACAGGGCACAACUAGUGCAGGUAUUGACUUCUGCAAUCUAUCAGAUUAGUUUUGCUAUAGUGUCAAGCAUAAAUGGCAAGGGUAAAUUGAGAUGAUUCUGGCGAAUGAAACAUUAGCCAGCUUAACCAAACCAAAAGGUAGCAGUUUUUUGUGCCAAACUUUUUACUAGAUGUAGAAGCCAAUGAAACUUUCAGUUGCUACUUGAACUGUUUAGAUAUGCUGAAUAUGCUUUGCUGAGAGUAUGCAGUUUGUUCUCGGGUAAUUGUCGACAAAGUAUUUUAGAUAUGCUGGAUAUUAGCUGCAAAUAAUAGUUGUCUCAUGCAACAGGAACGCAUGAAUCUCACAGUGACUGGUUUAAGCUGUUUUUGUAGAAUUUUGUCAUUUUGGUUUUGACUACAUUCUUUAGUUUACAAACUUAAUUACUGUUGACCCUUUACAGUUUGUUAUAUAUUCUUUUUGCAGGUGCAUCCAUUUUCCGUACUGGAAGGUGAUGAAUACGGGAAACUGCCGGUAUAUGUUGUCUACCAUGAGUUAAUAAAUACUACUCGUCCUUUCAUGAGAAAUGUUAGUGCCGUGGAUCAGUCUUGGGUUAAACCUAUAUUGAAGAAGCUUGAAAGAUUGGACAUGAACAAAUUAAGGUAUGAAAUAUAUGGGUUAAAAUAAUUACUAUUUCUAACAUGGCAAUUUAUGCUACUACAGUAAUAAUCUCAAUUAUAUUACAGUGGUGGUUCCAGCGGAUCGAAAGAUCCAGAACCUCUAGAGGAUAAACAAGUAAGCUCCCCAAAGAAAGCAAUGGAUGUUAAACAAUCUGACGUGGACAGUAAAAUACAGGCAGCUCGCGAGCGCUACCUGGCUCGAAAAGGCAAGAAAUGACAGUAUGUGCUUAACCAAGCUAUUCUUUGGAGGGUAGGUCCCAUACGUAAUGAGAGGAACAGGGAGUGAUAACAUGACAAUCUUCAGUAUCAUAUUUCCCUACCUCUUAUUACUUACCAUAGCAGAAGUACUGUAGGUACAAGCAGAGACAUUUAUGUGAGUCUAAAUUUCAUCAUAUCCAUCCAUUUGUCAAGCUUGAGAACUUUGUAACCGUUUAAAGGCCUGUUUGGCUGGUGUCUUGGUGCCAUAUGCCUGAGGAUUUUGCAUGCCAGAGAGCCACCCGAGAUGAUGAAUUUUGCCUAGUCAGGCAGCAUGUCUCUUUUGAUUGUUUGGUUUCGCACAGCUGUCUGAGGAAAAAUUGGGUUAGGCUUUAGAUGAUUACUGCUAAUCAAAUGUUGAUCGGAAGAUAAUCUUGCUACCAUUGCAAUCAUGCAUCGCCCCUUCAAACAAAAUCCAUCCACUGCCAACUUUCCGUAAACAAAUAAUUUGCAUACUAAAAUCUAUCCAAAUAAGCUCUUGAAUCUAUUCAGCGAAGUGGAAGCUGCAGAGAUGACUGGCGGUUCACAUGAUGGCUACAGUGCAGCGGCGGCGCUGGCUGCAACAGCGUUGGCAGCUUCGCGCAACGGCCUUUGCGGCGGCAAGAUCCUGUGACCGAGGGUACCAAUCAAGGGCCACAUCUUUUACCCUACAACAUAUAUGUUGAUGAUAUAUGUUGAUGCUAAAAUGUGAAUCUUAAAAUUUAAUUUUCGAGUUAAUUUUGAGGGUUUUUUUUAUCGUAGUUUCAUUUUCAACAUUGGCGUUCAAGUCAUUAAGAACACAUGUAAAAGUUUUAAGAGUAAAUUUCACAAAACUACAGGUAUUUUGCAUAAUUUAUCAAAAAAACUACAUAUUUAAGAUUUAAGAGCUUGUUUCAUAAAACUACAGAUUUAGUGUCUCAAUUUAUCACAAAACUACAGAUUUAUACAAACUAUCACAAAACUAUAUAUUUAAGAAUAUGUUUCGCAAAACUAUAAAUUUAGUGCAUUUGUUUAUCAUAGAACUAUACAUUUAGUGUCUUCAUUUAUCACAAAACUACAGGUUUCACAAAACUAUAAGUUUAGUACUAAACCUGUAGUUUUGUGAUAAAUGAAGAUAUUAAAUUUGUAGUUCUGUGAAACAAGUUCUUAAAUCUGUAGUUUUGUGAUAUAUUGUGCAAAGUACAUAUAGUUUUAUGAUAAAUGAAGACAUUAAAUCUGUAGUUUUGUGAAACAAGUUUUUAGUCCUACGCUGAGAAAAGAUAGGGGAAAGAGAUAAGGAGUUAGAGGAAGGAAAGAGAUAAGGAUAGAGGAAAAAGAGAUAGUGGAGAGAUAAAGAUGAGAAAGUCUAAGUCUAUGGUGGUUCGAUAUAUUUAAGACGUGGGAGGGAGAUAGUUGGUGAUAUCAACCGGGAUUAAAGAUCUAUUUUCUCGGUGCUCUAACGUUGUCUAACACAAAUAGAACCGGGACUAAAGAUGAUUUUUAGUCCGGGAUUAAGGGCCUGUUUGGUACAGCUCCAACUCCUAAAUAUAACUCUAGGAGUUGAGUCUGGAGUGGAGUUGUGGAGCUGCCUAAACCCAGCUCCACAACUCUAGUACAUUUUGUGAGAGUUUUAUCCAACUCCACUCCUAGUUUUGGUGGAUCUGAAACUGUUUGGCUGAGCUCCUGGAGCUGGAGAUAGAGCUGUGCCAAAUAGGCCCUAAAGAUCAUGAAGUCCCCGUGCACUUUUAAACUGAGACUAAAAAUGGUUUUUAGUUCCGGUUUUUAGUUGAACCGGGACUAUUGUGGCUUUUUGGCAACCGAUCAAAAAUGGUUUCUCCAGUAUCUAGAUGUGUUAUAUUACACAUUAAUGUUACUGUAAUCAUACUAAACUUCUGCACGAGGUUUCAUCUACUAAUAUAAAAAAUAUUUCGCCCGAAAACUACCAAUGGAUAAAGAAAGUCACUAUCGGUCCCCUGUGAUCGCUCCCGCCUCCUCCCGUGUGUCACUCUCAUCAUCUCGUGCGUGCUACUAGAAACCGGCGUGCUCCCCAUUAGUGAAGAAUGAGAAGGAUAGGGAAGGGGAUUUCAUUUGCAAGUUAGUGAGGGGAACUGUUGGGGUGUACUUAAAACAACCAAAAUUUUGAGAUUAGAAGCCAUGCUGAGCAUCUGUUGGCGAUGCUCUUAGAGCACCAUCCAAAAAUCCAGUACCAAAACUAUUCAUUUACUUUCAUCUAACCAAACCUGGAUUUUUAUGAUCAUUUUUUUUUACAUAAAAUGGCAUAUAGGUGUUGAUGCGAAAAACACGAGGCCUGAGAGAUCUGCUUAACUCCAGUGCAGGUCCAAAAAUCUUGCCAUUAGGUUCGUGAGCGUGCCAGUUGAUUUGAUUCUGCAAUUAACAAGAAAUAAAGUGUUUGGAGAGAAAAAAUAAAUUUUCGUCCCUCCGCACAGGGAAAUAAAAUAAAAUAAGAUGCGCGGGCGUGCAGUGUACUAAGUACACAAAUAAAAUAGACGAAGGAAAAUGCAUUUAUUAUAAUUCUCAAAGAAUUAAAAAAUACAAAAUCCUUGGUCAAAUGCUCUCUAUGGCCUGUAGGCAAGGUGGAUCUGAAUUGGCGAUUGUGUUCUCCUGUUUCCCAGGGUCUCGGAAGACACCUGGUUAAUUACUCUCGCGAGUUAAACUCGUGAGAAACCUCUGAUUAAGCUGUGCUGGUCGUCGUUGGUCUUUGCUUCACAUUCUCCCACUAGAACGGAUACCCUCAUCUCAAUCGGGCGGUAAGCCCCAUCUCAAUCGGGCACAGCGUCCGUCACAGGCUAGAAGUCACUGAUGUGAAGAGUUAUCUCAAUCGGGCAAACGGCCGUCACGAAUGAAUAUAUCUCAAUCGGUUCCUAAGUAAAGCCCAUCACUGAUAGCUUUGACCCAGACGACCAGUCAAACUAUAGCCCGUCACAGAUGACCUAUCUCUAUCGGGCCACAACUAGCGCCCGUCACAGAUGACUACUAACCUUUAUCGGGCCUAAACUAGAGCCCGUCACAGAUGAUACUCAUCUUAAUCGGGCCUAAACUAUAACCCGUCAUAGAUGACUGAUGACCUCAAUCGGGCCUAAACUAGAGCCCGUCACAGAUGACUGCUGACCUCAAUCGGGCCUAAACUAGAUCCCGUCACAGAUGACUAGUGACCUCAAUCGGGCCUAAGCUAGAGCCCGUCACAGAUGACCUCAUCUCAAUCGGGCAUUUAGUUGUGGCCCAUCACAGAUGACUAUAAUCCACAAAAAAAAUAAAUUUUGUUUUUUGGCUAGCCUCAGGCCUUUGCUAGCCAUGUCCGCUGCAAAAAUGACAGAAACAAACACAGAUAUCCAAUAUCCCCAGCUCCCCAGCAUCACCCAUUCAUACAUAUGCAUUAACAUACACAGACAUCAACAUAUUUCACACAACCACACAUUCACCGCCAUCUCAUAUUUCACAUCCAUUCACAUAUUUCACAUCCAUUCAAAUAUUUAUCAUAUUUCACCUGCAAAACCGAGUUAAUUGGAUCAAAUAUUUAUUUAGCAAGUCUUAACAUAAACAUAUGAAAUAUAUACAUAAAUAUAAGCAUCACAGUUACAUCAUCACAGUUGCAUAAUAAGUGUUCAUCAUUGCCUAAACAUAGAAGUUCAACAUUGUUCAUCAUUUUAGUUUAAGCCUAAACAUUCCUUUGGGGUUAAUUAUUUCGCGGAGGAUGAAGCUGGCUAUCUCCUCGCGAACCUCCUCAAAGCUGGUAGUCAGAGACUUGGUUAUUGUGCCCUACAUUGUCAUAAUUCCAGAUUAGUUGAUCGAUCAUAUAUAAGUACUAAAAUGUAGUUAGUCUAUCACAAUUGAGACCACCGACCUCAAACUCAGCCAAAGUCUUCACCUUUUCUCUAUACAGAAGUCGCAUGUUGUGGCACACAUGGAAUUCGCACUGGUCACCUAUUUGUUGCUUCACCGGGAAGUCUUUUUUGUGGAUGAGGGUGUCAUGUCCUGUCUUCCUGAGGCCUCCUCUUUGCACGUAUUGGGCCCACGCUUCAUCUAUCGCUAGUUGAAUUGGGGUCCAAUCAUAUGCGUUCUUAUCAAUUCUGGAGUUCAGGUAAUGACAUGUACUCCAUUUAGGUGUUAUGACCAGAAGGAUCCAAUGGGCACUGCGGCAUUAAUAUAGUGAAAGUUAAUUAAGUACUCAAGCAAUAUGUCAUGCUGUUGUGUAUAUUUAGUUAACACACUUACUAUUGAUUAUAGGCACACAUAAUGUACUCCUUGUCUCGGCGGGACCACAAGGUGUCGUAGAUGUAGUUGACCAUUCCUUGACGGUCAUUCUGGAGAUUUGUGACAGUGACCACUUGUGGAUCAAGGAAGGCAACUUCCAGUGCAUGCUUCUGACACCAUUGACAACUUAACCUACACACAGGAUCAACAAUCUUGUAAGCAAGUUAAACCGAUUGUUAUUACCAGAAUGAGUUGGGCGACAAUAUUUACAAGGAGUAGCACUUAAGGAGGCUUGUGUCCACCGCUCGGAGCCUGUAGAGGUCGAAAAGAUCCUUAAAGUCGACCACGACAUAAUUUGUUGGACCAAGGAAUGGCUUUCCAUCGUGCUGUCCAAGGAUAUCGGUAGCUUUACUUGGCUUCCUGGCGUUAGAUUUCUCCAUGUAGUAUAAGUGAAGGUCCUUGCAAGCGGUGCCCAUUGCGGCAAGCACGUCAUCUCCAACCAAUGGCAUGCCUAGUUGGAACUCCUGUGGAGCGACGUAUUUCUUCUUGACCUCUUUGCCCUUAGUCUCUUCCUGGCCCUUGCCCAGAUCUAGCUUUCUUGGAGCUAGAAGCGAGGCCUGCACCUUUCCUCCUCUUCCUCUCCCCUUUGCUUCGGGUUUAUCGAGAGUAAUUCUCUGAGGGGAAGAGUGUGCCUUCCUGCUCUUCUUCAUCGGUGGGGGUUCAUGAAUCGUCUUGCUGUCGGCCUCCGUUCGGUCCUCCCCAAAAUCCGUGUCGUACUGCAUCUGCACAUCGUAAGAUUGUGCAUGACGAUCUUGAGCAGGAGGGGCUGAAGGAGCAGAGGCGGGUCUCUUUGGUGGACGACCGCCUGGUGCAAUGGUUGGCCUCGCUGUAACCCUGAUCUCAAUGAGGUCCUUGGGCCAUUGGAUGAAGGUACCACGGGCAUUUCCUAGUGAGAGGACCUCGUCGUUCGGUGGAUACUUCAGAGGGAACAGCUCGUAUUUGGGCUUCACCGAGUCGACUUGAACUUUUGCACAGUCGGCCCUGAGUUGCGCUCCAUGCACUCUUGUCUCUGGGGUUGGCUUGUACGCAAGUCCCUCGGCUGCUGGAACAGUGAAGGUCAGCAUCACCCUAACUAUGAGGGUGCAGCUCGUUGGUUUCUGCGAUAGAUUAAUCAAUUUUUUUAGAAUAUUAUAUAUCAUAUGGAUUCGUUAUGUCUUUCAUGUAUUGAGUAAGUUCACGGUUACCGUUAUGUGGUCGACGGUGCUGUCGACCGAUGUUGGAUUUUCCGCCAACUCAGUUGAUGUGCAACUGCUGCGUUUUUCGAUGGGACUUCCUAACUCUUUGUGCGCAGCAGCAGUGGCGGCCUGGGGGAUCUGUUGCUCUUCUCGGAUCUCUUGCCUAAUCUUGGCCCUCAUCGACUCGAGCUUUUCGUCGAAUUCAUAUGUCAGCUCAGCUCAUAUCGACUCCCGGAUCUUGGCUUCAAGGCGUGCAUCUUUCUCCGCCUUGUUGGAAGUCCGCUUCUUGUACUGCCACGCGUAGUCUGGAAAUCCAUACUUCCAGGGAACAGAAGACCCAACGCCCCGUGUCCGUCCACGGUGUUCCUUGUUGCCCAACGCUUUCGUGAGGAGGUCGUCCUCGCAUCUUUGAGAGCAGGCCUCUUGCGAGGCUUGUUGCUCGGCAACCAACUCCUUCUGCAUUACAAUUUAGUGGGGUCAAAUAAACUGCACGAUGGGAAACAAUGCGAACAUCUAGUUUGACUAGACACUUACUAUAGCUUCGUAUACUCGUUGAUCUUCUGCAUUUGGCAUGAAGAUUGUGCCAUCAUCAUGUUUCUGGUACCUAGCCCUGGCCCAGUUCCUAGCCCGAGGGUGUGGGAUAUCGCCAAACACGAGCGGUGUGCACGAUUCCUCCGCUUCUUCAUCCUCACGCUGCCAUUCCUCUUCCUUACCGGCAUAUCCGGCGGUACCAAGCCGGUGCGGAUGCUGGUUCUUGGUCUGGAGCAAGCGAUAUGCCUCGCUUCUAGCUUUGGACUCGGGGGUCGACUUCUUCGCAUGGAAUUCCUCCCAGACCUGUUCUGUGAUCCAAGGAAAUUUCUCUCUUGGAUCUGGAUUUGCCGGGUUGUAGACGAACUCACCGACUAGCUUAGUCUUGAAGUUCUUCCAAGCAGUGCCCAUAACCUUGAAAGCAGCCCGCCUGAGACGGUCCUCAUGCUCCGCAGGAUAAUCAAAGCUCUCCUUGAACGUUAGCCAAGCAAUGUCCUUCUCUGCGACCGGCACGAGCUUGAAGUCGUCUUGCAGAAUACUGAAUUUCUGCCUCCCUAUGACCCCGCAGAUAGACCUAAAUCGGCUCAAUAUUUUCCUUGGAGAUGUCGGCAACCCUACGGCGUCCACCGCUGUUAUGCGGAACCGUUCCUUAGGAAUUUUGUUCCCUGUCCUAGGAGUACGUGCCCUUGAGGACCCACUAGUUGUCGUCGACAUUGGUUCGCCUUGCUGAGACAUUGUCUACUUUUUUCCAAAAAAACAAAGAAAACACAAUUGAGUGCUACAAUCUAUUACAAUCUAUUAACCACAUUUCACAAUAAUUUCAUUCAUGCACCACAUUUCAUCCCAACAUAAAUAAACCACAUUUCAUCCCAACAUAAAUAAACCACAUUUCAUCCCAACAUGAAUAAACCACAUUUCAUCCCAACAUGAAUAAACCACAUUUCAUCCCAACAUAAAUAAAUCUCAUUUCAUCCCAACAUGAAUAAACCCAACAUGAAUAAACCACAUUUCAUCCCAACAUGAAUAAACCACAUUUCAUCCCAACAUGAAUAAACCACAUUUCAUCCCAACAUGAAUAAACCACGUUUCAUCCCAACAUAAAUAAACCACAUUUCAUCCCAACAUGAACCACAUUGCAUAUAAAUAAAGUUAAAUGAACUACAUUUCAUCAAUCACUACAAUCAUCUAUCACAAAAUUCAUAAAUGCACCACAUUUCAUCCCAACAUCGACAUGUCUCACUCACAGUUCAAUCACAUAUCAUCCACAUCCACAUUUCAAUGACAUGUCAUUCACAGUUAGCAGAGGGCGGCGCGAUGGAGGACUCACCUGAGGAUGGCCGGUGGGGCUCGGUGGCGGCGGCGCCCGGGCUCGGUGGAAAGCGGCGCCGGUCGGAGGAGACACCGAUCGGGCAGGUCGGCACCGGGCGGGCGGCGUCAUGCUCAGUGGGGGUCGGCGACGUGGGUCGGUGAGGACGCGGGCGGCGACGACGAGGAAGGCCAACACCGGUCCGGUCGGUGUAAAGGCUCGGUGGCGGCGGCGGCGGGCUCGGGGGCGGGGGUCGUCGGUGAGGAGGCUCGGCGGCGGAGGUCCAAAUGGAGGGCCGAGGAGGCUCGGUGGUGACGGCGGCAGGCUUGGCGAGGGAGGACGACUGCGGCGGCGGCGGGCUCGGUGGCGACGGCGGCGGGCUUGGCGAGGGAGGAUGACGGCGGCGCUAGGGUUCUAAGGAGGCGGGAAACUGUAGCGGGACUUAGAAAAAUUUUCGAUCCACUCUGAGAAACCCUAGUUAUAUUAGAGUGAUGAGUCAUCUCAAUCGGGCUUUGCCGUAGGGCCAGUCACAGAUGACGCAUCGGUGACGGGCUCCAUACUAAUGCCCGAUUGAGAUGACAUUCAGGCCCGUCACGGAUGACUCAUCUGUAACGGGCCCUAAGAUAAUGCCCGAUAGAGAUAGAUUAAUCUCUAUCGGGCUUGAACUAAGGCCCGUCACCGAUGACUAUUUUUCCAUUUCCCAGGUAAGUCUUUAUAUUUGUGAGUACAAAAUAUAUAGCUGCUGUAUAAUAAUUUAUUUUAUUAGUUAUAACACAUUUUCGGAUAGUAAAUGAUUUCAAAUCGAAAUAUGGUCAACAACAAAAUUGUAGAGGUUAUCAAGAUCUACAACUUUUAUUUUGGUCAUUUGUCUAUAUAACUUUGUUUCCAACAGCUUGAAAUUGAUUUUGACAAUAUGACAAAUAUAAUCAACAUUUGUAAAUACUAAAUGAUUUGAAAUGGAAAUAUGGUCAACAACAAAGUUGAUCCUCUCAUCAAGAUCUAUAACUUUUAUUUUGGUCAUUUAUCUAUAUAACUUUGUUUCUAACAGCUUGAAAUUGAUUUUGACAAUAUGACAAAUAUAAUCAACAUUUGUAAAUACUAAAUGAUUUGAAAUGGAAAUAUGGUCAACAACAAAGUUGAUCCUCUCAUCAAGAUCUACAACUUUUAUUUUGGUCAUUUAUCUAUAUAACUUUGUUUCUAACAGCUUGAAAUUGAUUUUGACAAUAUGAAAAAUAUAAUCAACAAUUGUAAAUACUAAAUGAUUUCACAUGGAAAUAUGGUCAACAACAAAGUUGAUCCUCUCAUCAAGAUCUACAACUUUUAUUUUGGUUACUUCUUCAUCCGACAAAGUGAUAGUUAUAUUAUUCAUAAAAAUCACAUUUUUCUCAUCUGGUUUACAAAUAUCAACACAGAUAUGUUAAUUUUGUAAACAUUGGUACUAUCACUUUGUCAGAUGAAGAAGUGACCAAAAUAAAAGUUGUAGAUCUUGAUUAGCUGUACAAGUUAGCUGUUUAUGGCUUUCCCAUUUAAAGUCAUGUAAUAUUUACAAAUGCUAUUUAGAUUUGUCAUAUUGUCAAAAUCAAUUUCAAGCUGUUGGAAACAAAGUUAUAUAGAGAAAUGACCAAAAUAAAAGUUGUAGAUCUUGAUAAACUCUACAAUUUUGUUGUUGACCAUAUUUCGAUUUGAAAUCAUUUAUUAUCCGAAAAUGUGUUAUGACUAAUAAAAUAAAUUAUUACACAGCAGCUAUAUAUUUUGUACUCACAAAUAUAAAGACUUACCUGGGAAAUGGAAAAAUAGUCAUCGGUGACGGGCCUUAGUUCAAGCCCGAUAGAGAUUAAUCUAUCUCUAUCGGGCAUUAUCUUAGGGCCCGUCACAGAUGAGUCAUCCGUGACGGGCCUGAAUGUCAUCUCAAUCGGGCAUUAGUAUGGAGCCCGUCACCAAUGAGUCAUCUGUGACGGGCCCUACGGCAAAGCCCGAUUGAAAUAGAUUAAUCUCUAUCGGCCGUAAACCAAGGCCCGUCACCGAUGACUCAUUUUCCAUCUUUCAUUUGUUGUGAGUGCAAAAUAUAUAGCCUAUAUAAUUUUUAUUUUGGUCAUUAUUCUAUAUAAUUUUUUUCCCAACAGCUUGAAAUUGAUUUCGACAAUAUGACAAAUCUAAUUAACAGCAUUUGUAAAUACUAAACGAUUUCAAAUUGAAAUAUGGUCAACAACAAAGUUGAUCCUCUCAUCACGAUCUACAACUUUUAUUUUGGUCAUGUGUAAUAAAACAAAAUUAGCCAUAUUAAUGACUACACAUAUCAAGUCUUUGCAAUAAAACAAAAUACUUCAUUCAUUACAAUAGAUAAGUACAAAUGCAUCAGUCACAAGGUUAUGCCUUCGGUAUGAUCUGAACGAGCAUAUGCCACAGGCUCUUGGGGAUCAUCGUCAAGGUCAAUGUGAGGUCUUACAUGAAGAUUAUGGUUGUAUUCUUCUUCAUCGACGAUGUUGUCAACUGCUACAAUUCGGCGCUUUCCAUCCCUCACGAUGUGCAUCUUCUUGUUUGAAGGGUCUUUUAUAUAGAAUAUCUGCUCGACCUAUUUCGCAAGUACAAAUGGUUCAUCGUCGUAUCCCACCUUAGAUAGAUCUACUAAAGUGAAACCUUCCUUGUCGGCUUUGACACCAGUGCGUAGAUUCACCCAACGGUAGCGGAACAAAGGAACCUUGAACUUGACGUAGUUUAGCUCCCAGAUCUCCUCAAUGCGGCCGUAGUAUGUGUUUGACCCAACUUGAUCCUGGAAUGCAUCUAUACGGACGCCACUGUUUUGCACUGUGCAUUUGUCAUCUUGUUUGACGGUGUAAAAUGUGUAUCCAUUUAUAUCGUAUCCUUGCCAUGUGUCUAUGGUCCAAGACGGUCCCAUCCCCAACAACUGUACUGUCUCAUUUGGGACAACCGUGGACAUUGUCACACGAUUCUUGAACCAUUCGUUGAACCGAGAAUUAUGUUCUCUGUUAAUCCAUGCAUCAGAUGGCCCCAAGUUCUCAUCUCGGAUUUUCGCUAAGUGCUCCUCAAAGUAUGGGCCAACUUCUGUCAUAUGUUGGAGCACAGCGUAAUGAGCCUGCGCGUACGACGCUUGAUCGGGCUUAAUUCUUUUCCUUCCGAUUGUGCCAACACCUGACAACCUUCCCUCGUGACGAGACGCUGGAACUCCGAUAGGAUCGGCAUCGGACAUGUAAUUGACACAGAACUCAAUAGCCACCUCGGUCGUGUAACCUUCAAUGAUGCUCCCCUCGGGUUUAGCUCUGUUACGAACGUACGACUUCAGAACUCCCAUGUACCUUUCAAACGGUCACAUUUCCCUUAGAAAAGCUGGACCACAUAGUUUUGUUUGCUUCACCAGAUGAACAGGGAGAUGAACCAUUAUAACAAAGAAAGACAGUGGGAAAAACAUCUCCAGGUGACAGAGGGUAUUCACAAUAUUGGUCUGCAGCCCAUCUAGAUCUUCUGGAUCUAUAACCUUCUGUCCAAUUGCAUUGAAGAAGGCGCACAGACGUUGGAUCGUGUGACGCACUUUCGGUGGUAGAAUGCCUCUGAUAGUAACUGGCAAGAUUUGUGUGAUUAGCACGUGGCAAUCGCGAGACUUCAUUCCAACAAGUUUUAGAUCGUCCAAUUUAACAUACUUACUUAUCCUCGCUGAAUAGCCCGAUGGAACUUUAAUAUCCUUCAAGCAUGAUAACAUUGCGAUCUUCUCAUCCUUCGACAGUGUGUGGCAGGCUGGAGGGAGGUACACUUUACCUGUCUCUGCAUCUUGUAUGGGCUGGAAUUCGCUGCGAAUAUUCAUGUCCUGUAGAUCAAGGCGCGCGUUCAACCCGUCCUUUGUCUUCCCGGGAAUAUUCAACAUCAGGCCAACCAAACUCUCACACACAUUCUUUUCUACAUGCAUGAGAUCAAUGCAAUGACGGACAUCAAGAUCUUUCCAGUAAGGUAGCCGCCAAAAUAUGGAUUUUUUCUUCCACAUACCCUUCUCCUUUGUCUUGCUACGUUUUCUUUUCUUCCCAAACUCAUUGCUUAUGUCCUUGACCAUAUUGUGGACCUCAUCUGCGGACAAAUCUUUGGGAGCAGGCUGAAGUUCUCUCUUACCAUUAAAAAUUUUCUUCUUUCUUCUAAAUGUGUGACGUAGCGGGAGCCACCUCCGGUGACCCAUGUAUACCAUCUUUCGUGAUUUCUUCAGCCACCGGCUUCGUGUAUGUUCCUUGCAAUCGGAGCAUGCCUUCUUUCCUUUUAUAGUUUGUCCGGAAAGAUUACCGAGUGCAAGGUAGUUAUUAAUGGUGCAAAACAAUAGAACUCUUAGCUUGAAGUUCUCCUGACCAUAUGCAUCCCAAGUUUCCACACCUUCUUUCCAAAGAAUCUCCAGAUCGUCGAUAUCAUUGCCGGGUUGCCUUGGACCUUGGAUUAACAAGCACAACAUAAUAUAUUUCCGUUUAAAGCAUAACCAUGGUGGGAGGUUAUAGUUCGCAAUAAGAACUGGCCAAGUGCUGUGAGUACUACUCAUGUCACCGAAAGGAUUCAUGCCAUCCGUACAAAGACAUAUCCUCAUGUUUCUAGGGUCAGCAGCAAAGUCUUUGUGUUUUCGAUCUAUAUUCCUCCAUUCAAUCGAAUCCGCUGGGUGUCUAAGCAUACCAUCAUUCCUUCUUUCCGUGGCGUGCCAACGUACUAACUUCGCUUCGUUCGGGUUGGCAAAGAUUCUCUUGAAACGAUCAAUGAUAGGUAGAUACCACACAACCUUUGCCGGACCACCCCUCUUUGACUUAUUUCCUUCGUCAGCACUUUUCUUUCGCUUGUAUCGAGAAGCCUUGCAGAUAGGACAAGCAUCCAAGUCCGCAUAUUGCUUGUGGUACAAUAUGCAGUCGUUGGGACAAGCGUGAAUUCUACGGACCUGCUUUGCUUCGUAUGUCGUCUCGGGCAAUGUGUUCUCAACAGGAAGCAUAGCCUUCAAAAUUCCUAAAAGAUCUGUGAAACUCUUGUCUGUCCAUCCACUACUUACCUUCAGCUUCAUUAGGUCCAAGGUAACUGACAACUUAGUGUGUUUUGCUUUGCAUCCAGCGUACAAAGGCGUCUCGGAAUCACUUACCAACCUGCUGAAUUUCAUUCCAUCUCUCUCAUUCUGGGCUGGGUCCUCAACGUCACGUAACAUGUCUUGCAGCAGAUCGUGAUCCACAUCAACCAUUUCACCGCCCAAUGGAGAAGGUAUAAACAUUUCAUGCUCAUUUUCAUCUUCCUGAUUAUGCGCACCACUUCUGUCUGCUGCUGCUCCACUUCCUGAUUCUUGCUCUCCAUACUUCACCCAACAUGUAUAGCCCUCCAUGAAUUCUCGUUGUAUCAGAUGACCGUGUACGUCCUCUCCGCUAUCAAACAUAUUCUCGUUCUUGCAAUCUGCACAUGGACAACACAUAUAAUCACUGUUUCUUCUUAUCCGAUCCUCCUCCGCGGCGUUCAUAAAUUUUAUUACGCCAUUUCGGUACUCCGUAGAAUGACGUUUCAAAUUUUUGGCAUACAUCCAACUUCGAUCAAUUGCUACAAAAUAAAAAAAACAAAUUAGAGGCACAUAUUAUAAGAUCAGUAUUGCAAAAGUAAGACGUGAUGAAAUUGCUCAAUUAAUGAUUUAUAUUACUCACUUGAUUGAUCCAUUUUGAUCACUUUUGGGAAUUUAAUUUCUGUUUUCCUUGGAAAAAGGACAAAAAAUGCCCCCAACAGCCUCCCACCAAAAUAGUGAACAGUGGGAUACAGUUACACUAGGUGGUGGGGGGUAUUUAUACUGUGCAACAAAUAUCUGUAACGGCCCUAAAACAAUCAACCGUGACGGGCAUACAAGUAAUCUCUAUCGGGCCUUAAUAAAAGGCCAUCAAAAAAUAGUGUCAUCUGUGACAGGCAAUAAACUUAUCUCAAUUGGGCCUCUAGUUGGAGCCCAUCACAGAUGACCCUCAUCUGUGACGGGCUUCUUUUAGGGCCCGAUUGAGAUAUGGAACCCUCAUCUCAAUCGGGCAUCAACUAUAACCCGUCACAGAUAAGUGUCAUCCGUGACGGGCUUUAGUUUUAUGCCGAUAUACUAUGGCUGUGCGACCAUAUCUCAAUCGAGCGAAACUUCGGCCCGAUUGAGAUUACUUCCUUGUGACGGCCCGCAAAUUCCAGUCUUGUUAUGGGCCGUCACAGAUGGAAGGAUCUGUACUAGUGUCCCAUGCAUGACGGUGAUGGUGGUGUAGAUGUGUGUGGGCAUCGACAACGGUCCACGGCCUCGUUGGUCCGUGCGCCGGUGUUGGUGACGUCAUCUUCAUAUAGACUCUUCCCGCCCUGCCAUUUAGCCUCGUCGGUGGAGGUAAAGAUGGUGCUCGUAGUGGGGACUAGCAUGGCAUUGGCUGGGGUGAGAAUAAGAUGACGGUGUCGGUAGUGGUGCUGAGCUCGAGUAUGUUCAUGGUGGCCAUGAAGAGGUCAUCAGCGAAAGCACAAAUGACAUCGGUGGUCACAAAGAAGUCAUCUUGAUAUUGCUAGGAGUAACAGAGACACCAGUGGAGAUUCCAAGCUUGUGGUCACUUGCGGUUGGGGUAGAAUCACCCAUCUAGCCUAGAUGGCACUGGUCGACCAUUAUCAUGGUACAUGAGUCAGCCUACUGAUCGCUGCAGCACGCACUUAGUAUUGAGUGGUUUUAUGGGAUGUUAGGGGCAUAGCCUAGCCUGGGAACGAUGAGAUGCGUUCCAGGAGCUGGGUGGCCCUCUUGUAUAUGCGCCGACAAUCGGGGCUGAACUCAAAUGAUGUUGAGCCGUCUCCGAUCGUAGUGACUUGACUCGGGAGUGCGCCGAUGGCGGCCAUGAAGAAGCCGUCAUGUGUAUGGGCGCUGCGGAGUGAUAGAGGCACCGGUGGGGAUGCCGAGUUCGUGAUCACUAGACGGUGAGGUGAGGAUUCAUGUGAGGAUGACACUGGUGGCAGCAGCGAGUCGGAGGACUUCGCCGGCAGCAGACGAACGGUGGCGGGGCAUACAUAUAUAUAACUGUUUCGUUCAUCGAACGGAUGAGGUUGGCGAGCGUGACGCCAUCGUCGUUGGCGUGAGGAUGACUCCGGUAGUGACGAUGGACGUGAGGUCAUCAUUAGCCGGCGGAUACUCCAAGCACGUUGGUGAUAACAGUCGGCGGAUCCAAACUUGCACGUUGGCGACGAAUGCGCGAUUGGCACCGGCAACGGUAACAAGGCCGAGCUUGUCAUCGGCAGAGAAACGACCGGCGCCAGGACGAUGACCAGGGACAGGUUCGCCAUUGGUGGCAGCCAGGAGUAUAGACGCCGAUGGUUGAUGACCACACCGACGGCAGCUCCAAGCUUGAGAGACGGUCGGCAGGGGAGAAACGGUCGGCGCCGGCAACGAUGACCAGGAUCAGGUUCGCCAUCGGUGGCAGCCGCGAGGAUAAACGAUGAUGAUUGAUGAUGACACCAGCGCCGACUCCAAGCUUGCGCCCGUUGUCGGUGAAGGCACGGUUGGCGCCGGCGACGAUGACGGGGUCAAGCUCAUCAUCAGUGUCAGCCAUGAAGCGAACACAGGAGGUCGACGAUGCGCGAGCACAUCACCGGUGGUGACGGCAGGAGUGAAGACGCCUUGACCGUGCGGGCCGGUGUGAUGACCGACGGCAGCGAUGCCAUGAUAUCUCCCAACAGACCACCGAACCUCGUCAUCACCGAUGAUCCGCCACCCUUGCGUGUAUGCUAGCUGAAAUGGAGAAGACAAGAGACAAAGAAACAAAUAGCAUUACACAUGGCAGGUAGCAGCAUCACCGCCAUGUGCUGCCGAUCACGACGUUCCACCUCUUCUUCUCUGUAUGUGUGUCUGCUCUCGGCGGCGAUAUGGCGGCACAACUUGUGCUGCGUGUGUGUCAGUCUCUCUUCUCGUAUGCCUCUGCGUUUCUGUCUUCUCCCCUCCUCCUUAGCACGCCUCCUCGCCGGACGCCGAGAUACUGCGGCCAACGUCACCGGCCGCCGAGCACACGCGUUCCCGCCGGACGCCGAGAUACUCCGGCCGAAAUGGCGUGUGCCUCUCUCUCUCUCUCUCUCUCUCUGUGCCUUUUCGUGUGUGUGUUCUGUCUCUGUGUGUUGUGUCCCUGUGUUUCUCCUGUCCCCCUGUAAAAUGAAAUGGACAAUCUUUUAUAGGGGUGAUAAGUCGGUUCACAGGCUAGCUCAUACAUGGAUUAGUAUCUGCUCAACCAGCCAGCCGCUUCCAUCUAUAAGCCAAAUUUCCAUUUAGCAAAUAUCAUGAUUAUGAUAAUUCCAUUGUAUUGUGAUAUGAUUAUUGAAGCUUCCAUUCUAUGGUGAUACGGAGAGUAGUAUUUCCAUGUGAAAUCUCAGGUGCUUGCUGCUAUUAUCUGUUUCGUUUCCAAUCUGACGUGAUAUGGAUCAAUUUUCCUUGUAUACUUAUACGCUCACGCACUGCUCAUAGAAAGAAACUUUCAUAUAGAGCUAUCUUGCCCUUUUGAUUUCCUUGGUUUCCAUGCAAGCAUGUACGUGGUUUCCAUGCAUAUGAUGUGAGAGAUUAACGGCCGGCAAAUCAUGUGAUUAACUUCCUCUAAUGACAGUGAUACAGUGGCAUAUGCUUCCAUUCCCAUGAAAACAUUCACACCUUUUUCCUUCCAUCAGCCAACCAUGAAAUUGGAUCGAUCACCCUAUAUCAAAAUGUCGCGAGUACGUAUAUACUAGAGCAGCCGACGGCAAGUGUCUCACAAUAUUCAUACGUAUACGCCAUGUACGCCAGGUUGUGUUAUUAGUGAUAAUUAAUCACCAAUUUCGUUAUUAUAUCGCCGUUCCCGAAAUUAAUACUUUGACACACUUCAUUUCUUUCAUUUAUAAAAAAAAUGUACAAAAUAUCGUCGAACAUAAAGACAGAAAAAUAGCAGUUAAAUCUAUAAAUGAUAGCCGAUCGGCCAGUUGCCGAUGACAUAUCAUCUAUCUUUGAGCCAAUGUUGUAUUUGAGUCGAUCGCAAAUAUAAAUAAACAAGAACGAACUAAAUCUAUUCGAUCAGCUGUGGUUAUUAAUGAAAUAUAAUCCUAAUAUCGAUAUAUACUUAAAUCAAAUGAUUGGGAUAGAUCGGUCGCCAUGCCGAGACAAUAUAAAUCACUUAGAUCGAAAUAUAUAUUAACAAGAAGAUUAUAAGCAUUCAUAGCGUAGUCGAUUAGAUAGAUCUAGCAUGUAUCGGCUAAUACUUCGAUACAACUCUAUAUUGAGAUACUAAGACAAGCAGAAUAUACCAAACAAGAAGCUUAAUAUACCUAAAUGCAGUAAUAUCUUAACAUAAAGGGCAGAUAUAGCAUAUCAAUUAAGCACAUAAAAUAUGAAGCUAAAUCAGGUAAGAUCGGUUGAAACCCCGACACUACCCUAAUCGGCAACCAAAAGCAGGCUAGAGAUUAUGAUUCUAAUCACGACUUAUAAGAUCAAACUCAACUGAUACAGCUAUAAGUAUGAAAAGAACAAUAAAAAUCUAGACAAUCAAGCCGUUGGUUGUUUCAUAGGAUGGUAGAUACCCUAUAUAAUCUAAGUUAACAUUGAUAUUUAACCUAAUCGGCUGCCUUCCAACGAUAGAUGUUAGCCGAUUUGAAGGUUAGAUAACGAUAUUGUCAGAGAUUAUAUAGAGCAUAUGAUAACUCGACGAAUUACAUAAACAAGAUUAGAGUAUCAUAAAGAUGGAAGCACUAAUCCUGAGAACGCAAGCCACCAUAACAAGUUUUACCUCUGGUUGAAGAUCGAAACCAAUGCAGCUCAACCCGAAAGCAAAAACUCGUCGAAAGUAAACGAAAAGUAAAGGGUAGCGAUGCGCCGAGAUUGUUAUUGAACGUGUGUUAUUUGAUUACAUGGGUUCGGGUCAUAUUUAUACCCAAGAUACAAAAUAUGUCCUUGUCGGACAUGACUCUUAUCUCUAACAAACUCUAAGAUACCAUAAGUCUUUGCGGCAGACUUUUGCCUAAACUUAUCUCUAAGGAAAUUACAUAAAAUAUCCUAAUUAAUAGAUACAAUUGCCUCCUCAGGACUCAAUCCGUGCAUGGCAAUCCAUAUGAAGCACAUUAACUCAAUCCGACAACGUGAACCAAGUCAUAUUGCUGGAAUAGGCUUAAUCGGCUAAUCCUUGUUCGACUCGAACUCUGCUGAUCCUGAUUGCAGCCGAUUCAGACUUUAGCCGAUCCUCGCUCUGUUUCCGUAACGAUCUCCAUCCUGGAUUCUGCUUUGGUUUUAUCUUCAUCUCCGAUACUUGAAUUAUCAAAUUUGGUUAUUAACAAUAGGUCCAAGGGGAAUUCGAGUUUUCUCCAUUUUUUAAUGGAAAAUCACCACAGAACUUCAAGCAAAAUGGAAAUUUCUUUUUUUUUUGAAAAAGAAAAGAAAAGUAGCUAUUCCUCAACGCACAAUCCCAACCUUGUAAACAUUUAAUUAGGAGAGUAACUAUACAUCGCUAGAUAUUUUUUUAAAAAAAAUACUUUCAAUAGUAUAAUUAGUGUUUAAUUAUAUUAAAACUAUCAUGUAACCAAUAUAUAACUCGUAUAUAACUUAAAAAAACACGUUUGUACUUAGUUGGCUAGCACCUUGAGCAUCCACUUUCAACUGUUGCAAGUUUUUUUUCCCACCCUACAUGACUCGAAGCAACCCAACAUUUAGAAAUUUGAAAGUUCUAGAAGACCAAAAAAUUUUCUAAUGUUUAGUGAUUCCGAUAACCAUCGCAAGUCAUCAAUAAUACUUUAUGUGAUUGAUCAUUGAUACAAAACAAAUCCACCCGACAUGGUGUCAGAAAUGUUGUAGCCAUAAAAUUGCUUCCUCAUUUUUUUUGCAUAUGGUUCGUAUCGCCGAUCAGACAGAUGACAUAAUAGCGUUGCUUAAUUAUACAAAUAGCACGAAUACACUAACUAAAUUAUUUACCCUACUAUAGUUUAUCAACUGCAGUCCUAUAGAAACUUUAUUCAUUAAAUCCAACGACCUAUAUCGUCCAACCCAACGCUCCAAAUCAUCUCACGUUCCCCCUCCCCUCUCUCCCACUUUGCCUGCACGGGUCGCACGCCACCCCCACCAUGCGCCGUAUCUCGCAUGCGUUGCACCAAAUCCUAGCUCAAGUAUGCCGCAGCCCGCAGGCGCUGCCGCGCCAUGCCCCCCGACCCUCUUGCCGGUCUCCUCAGCGCCACCGUCGCGCUGACCACAUCCCCUUCUGUACCGCGGCACCACCGAAGACUGUGUCGUGGCAGGCGUAGUGCUGGGGGACCUACACCCACACCCAGCCAUCGAUGAGCUCCUGGAGGUGGAGGGCAUCUCUCUUGCCAGUGGCCUGACUUCUCCCUCCUCGGCUCCUCACCUACGCCGACCUCCUUUCCUCCGCAGCCUACCUCGGAGUCACAGAUUGUCACCACCAACAAGGUCAGUUCCUAUCACCCCUGCUCCACUUCUUGAAGAGCUGUUCCAUUUGAUGAUUUUUGUGGCAGCAGAGCAUAUAUGUGAGCCUGACAGGGAAGCUCGAGGACGUCAUGUGGCAGCCAUGCAGGUGGCCAACUCGACGAUGGCAGGCACAUCAGGCACAACUACAAGAGAUUUUAUGAUAAGUGACGUUUCAUUUACGUCACAAACAGUGAAAUUUACGUCAUGUUAUGUAAUCUGUGACAUUCGUCACCUAUCAUGCGUCUCUAAUGGCGUUCUAUGACGAAAUCUUAUUUUUUGUCAUUAAUCUAGUGACGAUUCUUCUGUCGUGAUAGAGUUAUGACAUCCAUUUUCGUCACCAUCAAGCCUAAAAAUCGUAAUGAGAUUCUAUGUGGCCUAUUAAGGUCCAUAUAGUGAGCAACUUGUUUAUGGGGUAGACCUAUUGUAAGUCCAAUUAGAUUUUAAUAAAUUCAGCCCAAUUAUACUAUAUCCAUCCAUAUUAAGUGGGCCAUACAUAUUCAAAAGGGCCAAUAGGCCCAACCAUUGCAAUGAAAUUGAAUCUAGGCCAUUGUCACGCCCAGAAAUUCCCGAAUAGAAUUCCAAGCAGAAUGUGCAUUAGAAUCCCCGUCCAGGACCGGCCGAGGUACAUAAACGACAAAGUUUACAUACAGAUCCACGUCUUACAAAUAUUAUAAAAGUCUUACAUAAAUGCAGCGGAAAAUUAAAAGGCAAUUGGAGCUAAGCCUCGACUUGGACUGCAGCGGGAACACCACUCCACAGGCAUCCUCGACGGCACGGACGGAGUCUACUCCUCGGAGAAACAACCAUCUGACGCAUACUCAAACUCUGGGGUUUGGGGAAAAUAGAGCAAGACUAAGUACAAUCACCGUACUCAGCAAGUCAUACCGGAAUAGGGGUAUGAUGCAGGGAAUUAUCAAAGGAUAGCCAUAGAGGUUCUUUUGCAUAAAGCGAGCAUUUAUAAACAGUAGUUGAAAGCAGAAAAACAGUUGUAGUAAUUAAUCAAUAUUAACCAUCCACUGUCCAACGCUACACCACGUUGCAACAGGCCCAACCAUCCACCUAGACUAUUCAAUUCCAUUAGACUAGACUAGGGUGAGACUAAUCACGGUGAAUCUGGUUGACCGCCCAGAACCGCGGGCACGGCUAUUCGAAUAGUUUUACUCUGAUCAGAGGUGUACAACUGUAUCCACAAGACACAGCCCCACGACACGUUUCCGUGCGCCGACAUGCCACCAUGACAUAACGAAUAGAGGCCGUGACAGGACCCUUCGCAUAACCCCCUCUAACCAAGCACACCACACCUCAGGUUUCACCCCCACUCCUCGCAAGGCAGCGGGCAGUCCCCUCUCGUGCCUAGGUGAAUCCGGAAGCCGCAUAGGCCGUCGCAGGGCCCAUCCAAACUCCAUCACGCCCACCCUUGCCUGGAUGCGUCAGCUAGAGGAAAGCUACACUACAAGCCCAGCCGUUGCCCACGCUGGAUUGUGGUAAGUACGAUAAGUUCUUCCACGGCAUCCCGCGAACCGGUCCUUAAAUGCCAUGGGCGCGACCAGUAAAACCAUGCACCCACAGCCCACCAUAUGAUUUAUUUUAAUUAAGCAACACCAGGACGGUGGCACUAAUCCAACAUUAACAUUAGAACCUACAGUCUAUACAUUAAUAUGAUUUCCCCCAUUGUGUGCUAGUUGAACUAAGCAUGGCUAAGCAAUCCCUGGUCCAACAUCUAGUCAUGUCACAUCCCAAGCUAACAAAGGAGCAUGGUACAAGAAUAGCAUGGCUAUAACAGUAGGUAAACAUUCCAUAGUAUUAUUGCAAAACAAUGCAGUAUUUGAAGGAAAACAAUAGACCAUUUGCAAUAUAGGAUCAACAUGUUCAAGUGACAAGCAUGACUUGCCUUGCUCUGCUGCUGGAGGAACCUCGGCGACUAUUUCAAAGUACACCGGAGCGUCGGGAGAGCCGGAAUCUAAGCGACAUACAAAGCAAACAAUAAAAACAGGCUAUAAGACUAUUGAAAUAGAGAACAAAACCAUUUUUGAUGGACUCUACAAAUUUUUCUUGAUUUACUGAGACUUGAAUGGGCUUAAACGGAGCUCGGAUGAAUUAGAUAUGAAUUUUAGAAGAUUCACUGUGUUUUUACUAUAAACAGAAAAAUCCUUAAUUGAAUUAUUGCGCAAUAAAUAAAUCCCGGGAGAGAGAGAGGGGCGGCGCCGACAUGCGGGCCCCACAUGGCAGUGACUCGGGGGGGCGGUUCACGGUGGACCGAGUCCACGGACCGGGGAAGGCGCGGUGCACCAUGUGGCGCUGACGUGGCGCCGACGCGGCGGCCACGCGGCAGCCACGCGGGCGGCCGAACGGACAGCCUCGAUCUACCGCGGACGGCGGAUACGGCUCGCGGCCGGCGCGCGCGGGCACGGCUCAAGCCGGCCCGGCGGCCAUGGCGCUUAUAGCGGCGACGCGAGGCGGUGACCGGCGGCGACCGGGGAAGGGGUGGCGCACCACGUGGCGCUGACGUGGCGCUGACGCGACAGCCACGCGGGCGGCCAAGCGUGGAGUGGGUUCCGGUGGCGGAUUCCGACGGAGGAGGGGUGGACGGGACGGCCCGCACGACGGCGUCGACGGCGCGGCUCGGCACGGCGGCUAGCGGCAGCUAGUGGCGACCGGAGCGGCGGCGGCGGCGGUGGAGAGGAGGGCGACAGCGCUAGGGCGAUAGAGGGCAAGGGGAAGCUUGGCGAAAUGGGGAAAAAGAGAGAGGGGAGAGUGGGGAUGCUUAAAUAGGGGAGAGGGAGCUCGGACGUGGCUGGGAGAGGCGGGAAUCGCCGGCCAACGUGGGGGUAGUGGGAGAAGGGAGAGAGGCGGGAUUCGAAAAUCGAAUCCCGGCCGUCUCGAGCGCGGGCGUGGGCGGGAGAGAGAGGGAGUGGGCGCGGGAGACGCGGGCGCACGCGCGGGCGUGGCCGACGUGGCCGAUGUGGCCCGAAGGAGGCGGGAGCGUGGGCGCGGCGGCGGCGGCUGGAGGUUGGGGGAGGACCCGACAGGUGGGCCCCACCUGUCGGCGACCCCGGGAGAGAGGGAGUCGGGCGGCCGGUUCAGCUGGGCCUCGGCCGGGCCCAACGGGAAAAAGGGGGCAAGGAGAGAAUGGGCCGGCGGCCCAUCCCGAAAGGAAAAAGGAAGGGAAAAAGAAAGAAAAAGGAGGAAAAGAAUUUCCAGGGAAUUAAAUAUUGCUUGUAAUCAUUUUUAAUUGGUUAAAAUUAUUUCUAGAGCUCUGAAAAUUCCAUUAAAAAUCUUGUUAGCGUAUUUUGACAUGUAGAACUCAAGAAAAAUUCCACAUGCCAAUUCCGAUUAUUAUUUACAUUAAUUCCUUUAGGGUUUCACUCUUGCUUUUACACCGGUAUUUUCUUGGGACCAUUUAUAAAUUCAAUUUAGGCUUGGGAGAAGAACUUCAGAGUGUGACAAACCUACCCCCCUUUAAACAGAAUCUCGACCCCGAGAUUCGGAAGAGCUGGCGAAGAGGUGCGGAUGGGCGGCCUUUAACUCAUCUUCCCUUUCCCAAGUUGCCUCUUCUUCUGAGUGGUGGCUCCACUGAACCCUGUACAACCUGGUAACCUUAUUUCUGGUUCUUCUUUCUCUGGUCUCAAGAAUACAAACCGGCUUUUCCACAUAAGUCAGAUCUUCUUGAAUGUCGAUGUGCUCCGAAUCGGCUUGUUCUUCGGGUACCCUCAAGCACUUCUUUAACUGGGACACAUGGAACACGUCAUGGAUGCCGAUCAUGUUGGAUGGAAGUUCUAGCUGAUAAGCAACUUCUCCUCUUCGUUCCAAGAUUUUGUAUGGUCCCACGAAGCGUGGUGCUAACUUGCCUUUCGUCUGGAAACGGUGCACUCCCCGGAGCGGAGUAACACGAAGGUACACGUAAUCCCCUGCUUCAAAAGUGAGCUCCCUUCGGCGGUUGUCCGCGUAGCUCUUAUGUCGAAACUGGGCAAUUCUCAGCCUCUCUCUGACGGUUCUGACUUUCUCUUCUGCUUCCGUUAACACUUCUGUUCCAAACAGUUGACGUUCGCCUGUUUGAUCCCAGAAGAGAGGUGUGCGGCACUUCCGGCCAUACAACGCUUCGAACGGCGCCAUUUGUAGACUGGCCUGAUAGCUGUUGUUGUAAGAGAACUCCGCAUACGGCAAGCUUUUGUACCAUGUUCCACCAAAAUCAAGCACACAAGCCCUUAACAUAUCCUCCAAUAUUUGAUUGACCCGCUCGGUCUGACCAUCGGGAUGGUCUGCGGGUGGUAGGCUGUGUUGAAGUUCAGCCGGGUUCCCAAUUCCUCUUGCAAUUUCUGCCAGAACUUUGAAGUGAAUUGGCUCCCUCAAUCAGAUACUAUCUUUUUGGCUACUCCAUGCAGACACAUGAUUCUCGAGAGAUAGAGCUCCGCCAACCUUUUGCCCGUAUAAGAAGUAUGCACUGGAAUGAAAUAAGCAACUUUGGUAAGUCAAUCCACGACUACCCAGAUUGAAUCAUGGCCCGAUGAUGUCCUGGGCAGACCUGUUAUGAAAUCCAUUUUAAUUUCUUCCCAUUUCCAUUCCGGGAUCUGAAGAGGUUGUAACAAUCCUGCGGGUCUCUGGUGUUCUGCUUUAACUCGCUGACAGACAUCGCAGAGCGUGACGAAUUUAGCUAUUUCCCUCCUCAUGUUGGCCCACCAAAAUUUUUCUUUGAGAUCUUGGUACAUCUUGGUACUACCCAGAUGAAUGGAAUAUUGAGCCUGAUGAGCCUCGGUGAGUAUCAGAUCUUUCAGCUCUUUGUCAUCAGGCACGCAUAAUCUUUCUCCCAUCCAGAUUGUGCCAUGUUCAUCCUCAAGGAAGUCCCGGGCUUUUCCGACCCUCAUAUUUUUUUUUCAGUUCAGCUAUCUCCGGAUCAUUUACUUGAGCUGCUCUGACUUGAUCCACGAGCGUAGGCCGUGCCUCUAGAGCAGCUACGAACCCGUGUUCUACGAUUCCCACGUUGAGCCGUUCAAGCUCCUGCUGCAAUUCCUUACACACGUCCUCGGUGCAUAAGGCAUUGCAGUAGCUCUUCCUGCUUAAUGCAUAUGCCACCACAUUGGCUUUGCCCGGAUGGUAGUGAAUGCUCAUGUCAUAAUCUUUGAUUAGUUCCAACCAUCUUCGCUGUCGGAGAUUUAGAUCAGGUUGGGUGAAGAUAUAUUUCAGACUCUUGUGAUCCGUGUAUACUUCGCAGCGGUUGCCAAUCAGAUAGUGCCUCCAGAUUUUCAAAGCAUGAACCACCGCUACCAAUUCCAGGUCAUGCGUUGGAUAGUUCCCUUCAUGUGGACGCAACUGCCACGAGGCAUAAGCGACCACUCUGCCCUCUUGCAUUAGAACACAUCCAAGCUCGUGGCGGGACGCAUCACAGUAGACCUGGAAGUCCUUUGUUUGGUCGGGCAGAAUCAGAACUGGAGCAGACACUAAUCUCUUCUUGAGUUCCUCAAAACUCUUGUCACACUCGGCCGUCUAUUUAAAUUUCUCGUCUUUCUUAAGCAACUAAGUCAUAGGUCUGGCAAUCCUGGAGAAAUUUUCAAUGAACCGACGGUAACAACCCGCAAGUCCAAGAAAACUCCGAAUCUGUGACACGGUCUUAGGUGGGGUCCACUUGGUAACUGACUCCACAUUCGAUGGAUCGACUACCACGCCCUGAGCUGUAAUGACGUGACCCAGAAACUUGACUUCCGACAACCAGAAGUCACACUUGCUGAACUUGGCAUAUAAUUGGUGCUCCUUCAACUUCUCGAGUACCAGACGGAGAUGUUGCUCAUAUUCUUCUUCAGAUUUUGAAUAGAUGAGUAUGUCGUCAAUGAAUACCACAACAAACUUAUCCAGAAAUUCCAUGAACACCUUGUUCAUCGGGUUCAUGAAGAAUGCAGGUGCGUUGGUAAGUCCAAAAGACAUAACCAUGCACUCAUACAACCCAUACCGAGUGGUGAAGGCUGUCUUGGGGAUAUCCUCUUCCCGAAUUCUCAACUGGUGAUAGCCUGAUCGCAGGUCUAUCUUAGAAAACACUUUAGCUCCUUUCAGCUGAUCAAACAAAUCAUCAAGCCGCGGUAAAGGAUAUUUGUUCUUGAUUGUGACCUCAUUGAGUGCGCGAUAAUCAACACACAUUCUCUUCGUCCUGUCCUUCUUCUUCACAAAAAUGACCGACCACCCCAAGGUGAAGUACUUGGUCGAAUGUACCCUUUCUGCAGUUGCUCAUCAACCUGCUUCUUGACCUCUGCUAGCUCAUUGGCUGCCAUCCUGUACGAUCUCUUGUAAAUUGGAGUGGUCCCCGGUGCCAAAUCAACCCGGAAUUCAAUCUCUCUCUUGGGUGGCAUGGUAGUGAGGUCUUCGGGGAACACUUCUGGAUACUCGCAGACUAUGGGGAUAUCUUCCAAUUUCCGCGAACUCUUCUCCUCGGUGGCCACAAGGUUUUCCACCUCAAUCUGAUUUAAGGAGAUUCCUUGCUUCGGUGAGACUAGUGACUUGUACACCACAGUUUCUCCCUUCUCAUUGGUCAAGGUGACUGUGCGAUUCGCACAAUCAAUGACUCCCUUGAACUUGGUCAGCCAAUCCAUCCCAAGGAUGACAUCUAGAUCUUUGGAUUCAAGAAGGAUGAGGUUGGCUAGAAAUCGUGAUCGGUGUAUUUCUAUUAGCACUGAAGGGCUAUAACUGAUCGAGGUUGAACUAUUUCCCGGGGUAUGAACCCUCAUUAGUGUACUAAUCUCUUCUUUUCUUAACCCAUGCAUCCCAACAAACUUCUUUGAAAUGAACGAAUGCGUUGCACCAGAAUCGAAAAGUACGGUUGUAGGGAUUGAGUUAAUAGGAAACGUACCCAGUACGACCUCUGGUGCUGCUUGCGCCUCUUCUGCGGACGCGUGGUUGGCACGAGCUUGGGCAAACCUUGGCCCGGCACGCCUUAGCUUAGGGCACUUGUCAGCAAAGUGACCAUGCUCGCCACAGUUGAAACAGGACCUUGGCUUUGCUCCAGUCUCCUUCUUGGCUUGGGCUGAUGGAGCUGACUAUGCUGGUGCCAUUGGCAGGCGCGGAGCUGCACUGCGGUUGGGCUGACUUCCCUGGUGAUUCUGGCUGCCACUGGCGCCCUGGUGGAAGCUGCUCGAGUUGAAAGGGCGAUGCUGGCGGACGAUCAUGGUGGUAGGUCCACCCUGCUGUCCGGGAGUGAAGCGCGGGCGCUGGUGGCUUCCUUGGUUGGACCGGAACUGCGCUGCCUUUCUCUUCCUGUCCAUUUUGUUGCGCUGAUCCUCCUGACAGAUUGCCUUGUCAACCAGCUUCUCAAAGUCGGCAUAGUCUCUAGAGAUUAACUGGUUGGUCAGCUCGUCAUCCAGGCCUGCUAGGAACUUCUCCUGCUUCUCGGCGUCGGUGCGGACAUCCUCCGGUGAAUAUCGCGCUAGACGAUUGAACUCAUGGAGAUACUCAGUCACUGUCCUGUUGCCCUGGUGGAGUAUCCGGAAUUCCCUCUUCUCCUGUGCCACAACCCCGUCUGGCACCUGCACCUUCCUGAAGCUGCGACAGAACUCCGCCCAAGUGACUUCUGUACCUGGCGGGCGGGUAGCCAUGUGAUUGUCCCACCAAGCUGACGCGGGGCCCUGGAGCUGGUGUGUGGCAAAGGCGACCUUCUCCUGAUCAUUACAUUGCAGAAGGUUUAGCUUCUUCUUUAUGGCAUGGAGCCAGUCAUUCACCUCCAUGGGGUUGGUGGUGCUAGAGAAAGUGGGUAGCCUGACGCAUAGAAACUCUGGUAGCUUGGACUGAGGGGGAGGGGGACCAAACUGCUGCUGCUCGGCUUGCUGCUGCAUCCUCUGGUGCAUCUGCUGGUGCUGCUGCUGCAUCUGCUGCAUCAUGGCCGCCAUCAUCUGAGUCUGAUGGGCCAUCACUUGUGCGAGCGUCGGGUUCUCGGGGAGUGGUGGUGGACCGUGGCCAGAGGCGCUGUUGGGAUGCCCACCGUCGGUGCGUUCUUCGCCGUUGCUGCCCUCACCUACUGCACGGCUGCCAUUCCUGGUGUUGACCAUCUGGAGGGAGAGCAGACGGAGGGGGUGGAAAAGAAGAAAAACAGAUGCUCAGGAACUAAGCUUUAUUAUAUAGGAAUUUAAACUGCAAUUGUUCUGAUCUGAAUUAAAACACUUAAAACAGCAAGCAAAUCCUUAUUAAGAUAGCCAUAUCAUAGGCACAUGAUAUCGACCGUCGACUGACCCCCAAGCGAACAGACCUAAACACUCAAACUAAUAGACAAAUACUAAGCAGUCGGUAAACUAAGGGAAAGCGAGCCUAAUGCUCGGAACGGCUCCUGCGGUCGAUGGAGUCGAAGGCGUCCUCCUGCUCGUCACCAGGUCCCUCUGAGCGGCUCCUGGAGUCUUGCAGAUAUGUCUCGCCGCUGCCCGGCUCUGUGCCACUGGAACUGCUGCUGCUGUGGUCGCAGCUGCCACUGGGAGUAGCAGGCAACCAACCUCCAUUGCCACCGGCUGGACCCCUGGCGACUGAUGCUGGAGCGAAGGAGAGAGCGGACGCGGGAGCUGACACAGGGACGGGAGCCGGGACUGGAGCUGGAGCUACGGGAACUGCUGGAACUGCGGGAGCUGUGGGCGGAACUGGAGGAGCUGCGGGAGCUGCGGGCGGAGGUCGGUUCCUGGGCGCAAGCUGAAUGCGCACGGGUGUAGUCGUCGACUUGCGGGGCGUGGUGCGGAUCCGGACUCCUCCUAGCGCUGGGAGGCCCUUCAACUGAGCGUUCUCCUUCUUCAGGCGUGCUAUCUCAUCCUUCAAAGCUAUGAUCCUCACGAGCUUCCCAUCAUUCAAGGCCUUGGACAUCUUGUGCAGAUCCGAGUGCAUCCUGUCCAUUCCCCUCAUCACGGCGCACAUGUGACUGAAGGUGGUGUCGUUCUCACCGGCUGUCAGGCGAAAGGUGUUGACAUCGUCACCACUUGCUCGGCGAGGGUGGAAAUAGUACGCCGUGUUGCAGAAGAUGUAGUUGUGGCGCCCACGAAGUCUGGCCAUCAUCCGAUAUGCUGCCUCUUGACAGGCGUGAUCUGCGGUGCCUCCAGAUGCUUCAACCACCAUGUUAGCGAGGCAGGUGCCCACAUAGCCAUGAACCUCCAGACGAACACGGUGAGGAAACUCGCCACUGAGCGGCGGAACAGUCGAGUACUCUGGCGUGUUGGGGUAGCCCACCACUAGGGUCAUGUGAGCCAACUCUGCCACAAAGUCGUCCACGCCUUCUCCGCGGUGGUUGGGUGGGUGGUCGGCCAUCUAGAGAAGACAAAGGGGUAGGAUCAAUGCAUGCUCAAAUCCAAUUUAAAUAAAGCUGUAAAGGACUCAAAUAAAAUAAGCGAGUAAGAGCGGAAUUUUAUGCAUAGAUCAUUUUGCAUGAGAGCGAAUAAAUAAGACAGACUUACAUAGCGAUCAAAUAAUGAGAAAUUAUAUACUUACUAAUAAUAACAAUAAGAGCAUAAAUACCUAGCAACCCAUAUUCCUGAGUUAGGACCUAAUGCAUUCUUCCCAUCAAAUCCCGACUGACUGUCAAAUAAAUCUCAAAUAAUUUUACUAAAACCCUAGACUGACUUGAUUUGACAAAUCUCACUUAAACUAGCGACCAAGAUUUUUCCCUUGAACCACAAGAAUAGAUCCUAAUUUUCCUGGAACAAAUCCAAUUGCAAAGAAUAUAUGCAAUGAAAAGGAUUCAGAGGGCUCUUAGGUUUUUCCAUUUGGCUUGUCCUACGGUCAAGGUCGGCUCUGAUACCAACUUGUCACGCCCAGAAAUUCCCGAAUAGAAUUCCAAGCAGAAUGUGCAUUAGAAUCCCCAUCCAGGACCGGCCGGGAUACACAAACGAUAAAGUUGACAUACAGAUCCAUGUCUUACAAACAUUAUAAAAGUCUUACAUAAAUGCAGCGGAAAAUUAAAAGGCAAUUGGAGCUAAGCCUCGACUUGGACUGCAGCGGGAACACCACUCCACAGGCAUCCUCGACGGCACGGACGGAGCCUACUCCUCGGAGAAACAACUAUCUGACGCAUACUCAAACUCUGGGGUUUGGGGAAAAUAGAGCAAGACUGAGUACAAUCACCGUACUCAGCAAGUCAUACCGGAGUAGGGGUAUGAUGUAGGGAAUUAUCAAAGGAUAGCUAUAGAGGUUCUUUUGCAUAAAGCGAGCAUUUAUAAACAGUAGUUGAAAGCAGAAAAACAGUUGUAGUAAUUAAUCAAUAUUAACCAUCCACUGUCCAACGCUACACCACGUUGCAACAGGCCCAACCAUCCACCUAGACUAUUCAAUUCCAUUAUACUAGACUAGGGUGAGACUAAUCACGGUGAAUCUGGUUGACCGCCUAGAACCGCGGGCACGACUAUUCGAAUAGUUUUACUCUGAUCAGAGGUGUACAACUGUAUCCACAAGACACAGCCCCACGACACGUUUCCGUGCGCCGACAUGCCACCAUGACAUACCGAAUAGAGGCCGUGACAGGACCCUUCGCAUAACCCCCUCUAACCAAGCACACCACACCUCAGGUUUCACCCCCACUCCUCGCAAGGCAGCGGGCAGUCCCCUCUCGUGCCUAGGUGAAUCCGGAAGCCGCAUAGGCCGUCGCAGGGCCCAUCCAAACUUCAUCACGCCCACCCUUGCCUGAAUGCGUCAGCUAGAGGAAAGCUACACUACAAGCCCAGCCGUUGCCCACGCUGGAUUGUGGUAAGUACGAUAAGUUCUUCCACGGCAUCCCGCGAACCGGUCCUUAAAUGCCAUGGGCGCGACCAGCAAAACCAUGCACCCACAGCCCACCAUAUGAUUUAUUUUAAUUAAGCAACACCAGGACGGUGGCACUAAUCCAACAUUAACACUAGAACCUACAGUCUAUACAUUAAUAUGAUUUCCCCCAUUGUGUGCUAGUUGAACUAAGCAUGGCUAAGCAAUCCCUGGUCCAACAUCUAGUCAUGUCACGUCCCAAGCUAACAAAGGAGCAUGGUAUAAGAAUAGCAUGGCUAUAACAGUAGGUAAACAUUACAUAGUAUUAUUGCAAAACAAUGCAGUAUUUGAAGGAAAACAAUAGACCAUUUGCAAUAUAGGAUCAACAUGUUCAAGUGACAAGCAUGACUUGCCUUGCUCUGCUGCUGGAGGAACCUCGGCGACUAUUUCAAAGUACACCGGAGCGUCGGGAGAGCCGGAAUCUAAGCGACAUACAAAGCAAACAAUACAAACAGGCUAUAAGACUACUGAAACAGAGAACAAAACCAUUUUUAAUGGAUUCUACACAUUUUUCUUGAUUUACUGAGACUUGAAUGGGCUUAAACGGAGCUCGGAUGAAUUAGAUAUGAAUUUUCGAAGAUUCACUGCGUUUUUACUAUAAACAGAAAAAUCGUUAAUUGAAUUAUUGCGCAAUAAAUAAAUCCCGGGAGAGAGAGAGGGGUGGCGCCGACAUGCGGGCCCCACAUGGCAGUGACUCGGGGAGGGCGGUUCACGGUGGACGGAGUCCACGGACCGGGUAAGGGGCGGCGCACCACGUGGCGCUGACGUGGCGCCGACGCGGCAGCCACGCGGGCGGCCGAACGGACGGCCCCGAUCUACCGCCCGGUAGAUCGGACGGCGGAUGCGGCUCGCGGCCGGCGCGCGCGGGCACGGCUCAAGCCGGCCCGGCGGCCAUGGCGCGCGGCGGCGCGGCGCGCACACAGCGGCGACCGGCCCGCGGCGGAAGACGACGGCGUCGCGGCGACGCGGGUGGCGAUAGCGGUGGCUAAGCGGUUAGGCGGCGGCGCGGCGGCUAAGCGGCGCGGGAGAGAGGGAGAAAGGGGAGGAGGGGCCUCACCGGCGACGAUCGGCGACGGCGAGCGACGGAGGGCGACGGCGAUGGCGGGACGAGCUCUGGAACCACCUAGCGAACAAGAUGAGAGGGAUUAAAGGGAGAGAGGAAAAUGGGAGAGGGCGAGGACGCCGGCCAAAGGCGGCGGCCAUGGCGGUGCUCACCGGCGCACGGCAUGGAGUGGAUUCCGGUAGUGGAUUCCGACGGAGGAGGGGUGGACGGGACGGCCCGCACAACGGCGAACGCAACGGCGCGGCUCAGCACGGCGGCUAGCGGCGACCGGAGCGGCGAUGGCGGCGGCGGAGAGGAGGGCGACGGCGCUAGGGCGAUAGAGGGCACGGGGAAGCUUGGCAAAAUGGGGAAAAAGAGAGAGGGGAGAGUGGGGAUGCUUAAAUAGGGGAAAGGGAGCUCGGAUGUGGCCGGGAGAGGCGGGAAUGGCCGGCCGACGUGGGGGAAGUGGGAGAGGAGAGAGAGGCGGGAUUCGAAAAUCGAAUCCCGUCGUCUCGAGCGCGGGCGCGGGCGGGAGAGAGAGGGAGUGGGCGCGGGAGACGCGGGCGCACGCGCGGGCGUGGCCGACGUGGCCCGGAGGAGGCGGGAGCGUGGGCGCGGCGGCGGUUGCGGAGCGCGGUGGCGGCGGCUAGAGGUUGGGGGAGGACCCGACAGGUGGGCCCCACCUGUCGGCGACCCCGGGAGAGGAAGUCGGGCGACCGGUUCUGUCGGCCGGCCCAGCGGGAAAAAGGAGGGAAGGAGAGAAUGGGCCGGCGGCCCAUCCCAAAAAGAAAAAGGAAGGGAAAAAAGAAAGAAAAAGGAGGAAAAGAAUUUCCAGGGAAUUAAAAAUUGCUUGUGCUCAUUUUUAAUUGGUUAAAAUUAUUUCUUAGAGCUCUGAAAUUUCACUAAAAAUCUUGUUAGCGUAUUUCGACAUGUAAAACUCAAGAAAAAUUCCACAUGCUAAUUCCGAUUAUUAUUUACAUUAAUUCCUUUAGGGUUUCACUCUUGUUCCUUUAGGGUUUCACUCUUGCUUUUACACCGGUAUUUUCUUAGGACCAUUUAUAAAUUCAAUUUAGGCUUGAGAGAAGAACUUCAGGGUGUGACAGCCAUGCACACUCAAAAAGCCCAUAUAUCAAACAGAAUUAGCCCAAUUAAAAUCUAAAUCUGACAUCUUAUAGCCCAAUUAACAAAAUUCAGCUCACAUUUAAUACAUAAUCACAAAACAGGCUAUCAUAAAUUCAGAAAAAAAAAAGAUCACAGGUUAUCCGUAAAUCAGUUACAUGACAAGUCAGCUAAUUACAUCCACAAAUCACUAUCCAAAGCAUGUUCAAUUACAUCACAGGUUCACUGACCAGAUAUAAUACAUCACUAGUACAAGUCACUGACCACCAAAUCCAGCCAAAUGCCAAAUAGCCGUUCACACAUUGACCUAAGCAAAGUCAUAUCCAAAUCACACGAAUCAAAAGAUCUUGAAUUAGCAAGGUAACAUUAAGAGAAUAGACAAAAACCUUAUUGAGGCUGACCUGAGUGUUGCGGCCAAUCAAACGACAAAAGGGCAUAUGCUUCCUUGUUGCUUCCGAUUCAUCUAUCCAUAGCAAAAGAGGUGUUACUUAGGCACAACAAAAUCCUGAUGUUAUAUAUAGAAUUAAGCUUUGAUUAUGUGUAAAUUAAGCAAGCAAAAUGUGAGAUUGUCUAAUGCCAGUUGAUGUGCAUGAAUACUACCAUAAAUCCAAGAUUUUCCUUCAGCUAUCACGUUUUAUUUUGCUGCUGCAAAACUCUAAAUCAGCUACCGAAGCUAGCCAUUUCAUCAUAAAAAAACAAGCUCGCUGCGCCAUUGGCUGCGUAACUACAGAACUGAAGAGGUACAAUUUCAUGUAUUACACAAACACAUACAUCUCAUAAGUGCCCUUGCCUUAAUUAGCAUGAUAACUUCAAAGAGAGAAGCAAUAGCAGCUCCAUUUAGUAAUAACCCAAUUAUGUGGGACUUUUUGAAACUUCCUGAAGGUUCCUUUGAUGCAUGACAACCCAAAAUCAUCAAGAAUGAGGGUCCUACUGAAUUUAUGUCACCUUAAGCAAUUCUAUGACAUGAUGGUCUAAAUUUUAACAAUUGGAAGCUCUACAUGUACAAUUGCAGACACACCAAUAAUCAUUCAGAUCAGGAUACAAUUGUAAGCUCUACAUGUACAAUUACUUUCCAUGAAAUGAACUAAUAUUCUAGCCACCUAUGCAUUUGUAAUGCUUAGCAUAUCCAACUCUGUAAGCAAAGCUACUACUUCUACAGUUGUACUGCUUGGUUCGACACCAUCAGAAAUAGGACUAAUCAACAUGGCAAUAAUUCCCAACUACACGUUUCAUCCCAGAUUUGAUUGAAGGGUUAUUGCAGUUAUCUGCUACAUGGGAAUCACUGACAUUCAUUGUAUCAGUACUUACCAAAUUAUACAGUUCUUUAUAUAACAUCGAGACUGUCUAGAUGUAGGAAUUCAUGAUACUCAAUCUUCAAGAAUGAUUUUCCUCCUACAGAACAGCUUUUAUAAUCUGCACAUAGCAUUUACAAAUAUUUUGGGAUAAUGAAUAAUUCAUGUACCAUAUAAGAAAAGGAAAGAUAUUGUGCAGAAUUAGCCUUUUCGUACGUGUUUAAAUCAGCGCAUUACAUGCUGCAUUUGGCCUUCAUGUACUCCCGGCUGCUGCCCGGAGAGGUGGCGGCGGUAGUAGGUGUCCAUGCCACAGCCGCGUGCCUCCGCUGCGUCGCCAUGGUGGUGAUGCUACACUGGGGAAGCGGUGAGGGGGGACGAGACCCUGCGCCCUGACGAAGUCAAAACACUCCUGCAGCCUCCGCCUCUCGAACUUGGCAAACCGCAGCUCCGCGCCUCCGCCACCGCAGCUCGCCGUGUACACCAGCUUUAUCAGAGUCCCUGCGAACAAAAAGAAAAAAAACCCACGAGUCCAUCCCUCCACCACGACCGAACUACUUCGCGCGUGAGAGAGCGAGGAAAACCCGCGAGCCGAUGUCGAGCGCGAGGAGCAGGGGCGCGGCGGGCUGGCGCGGGAGGUACACGGGCGGGAGGGGAGCCGCCGCCGCCUCCACCGGAUCUGGGAGGAGGGAGGGGAGCCGCCACCGCCGCCGCCUCCACCUUCCGCGCAGGAACCGCCUGGAGCCGCCGCCGCCACCGCCCUCCGGCAGCUGCUCCGGCCGGAAUCCGCGCCGAGAGAGGAGAGGUGAGAGGGGAGGUGAGGGAAUGGGAGGGAUACCUGCCCCGGCUCAGACGCCGCCGUGAAGAGGCGGAGACGGAUGCCGGCGCUGUCGGCGGCAGAUCCGCCGCUCCCGAGCCUGGCAGCGGCAGAGACGGAGGCGGCGCGGUAAGCGGUGAGGGGGGGAGUAAGCCGGAGAGGAGAGGAGAGGAGAGGAGAGGAGAGUAGAGGAGAAUGGAUGGUAGUGUGGCGGCUGAGGGUGGAGAGAGAGAGAGGGGGGAGGGGUGGAGAGGAGGGUUUUAUAUGGGGCUAAGGUUAGGGAUGGCGAUGAGAACUAUUAGAUCGGAGAUGGACGGUCAGAAAUAGUUGGGCCAUUUGGGCCUAAACAUGAAUGAUCUUAUGGUAUUUUUAAUUUUAAUUUAUGAACAACAUCAAAUUUAAUUUUAGGCUGCUUUUUAUGUUUCAAAUGCAAAAAUCACAAACAACAAAAUUUUAGAACUCAUCGAGAUCUACAACUAUUGUAUUGGUCUUUUUUACAAAUAAGUUCAUUUGAACAAUUCAAAUUUUGAAUUUUUAGAAUUUGACAACUUCGAACAAAAAUUGGGGUUAAUAAAUGAUUUCAAAUGGAAAAGUCACCUAAAUUAAAGUUGUAGAACUCAUCAAGAACCAAAAUUUCUAUUUUGGUAAUUCCUCAAUCUAACUCUAUUUAAACAAUUUGAAAUUUGAAAUUCAAAGUUUGAGAACUUCAAAUAGAAAAUUUUAUUAGUGAACGACUUCAACUGAAAAAAGUCAUCAACAACAAAGUUGUAUAAUCCAUCUAGAUCUACAAUUCUUAUUUUGGUCAUUUGUUCAUCUGAUAAAGUAUUUUUUAACAUUGUUCAUAAAUUUUACAAAUCUUCCAUAUGGUUUCAUAAAUUAUAAGAGAGGUGUGUAAAUUUUGUGAACAAUGUUACUAUCACUUUAUCGGAUGAAUAAAUGACCAAAAUAAAAGUUAUAGUUAUUAAUGAGUUAUACAACUUUGUUGUUGAUGACUUUUUCAGUUGAGGUUGUUUAGUAUUUGAAAAUGUUGUUUAAAGUUGUCAUAAUUUGAAAUUCAAAUUCAAAUUAUCGAAACAAAGUCAUAUAGCAAAAUGACAAAAAUAAAACUUAUAGAUAUUGAUGAGUUAUACAACUUUGUUGUUGAUGACUUUUUCAAUUGAAAUCAUUUAGUAUUUGAAAGUGAUGUUUGAAGUUGUCAUAAUUUGAAAUUCAAAUUCAAAUUAUUGAAACAAAGUCAUAUAGAAAAAUGACCAAAAAAAAGUUGUAGAUCUUGAUAAGUUAUACAAUUAUUAUUGACAAUUUUUUCAUUUGAAAUCUUUGCUACCUGAAAAGUUAUUUGAAUUUAGAGGAGGGAGGUAAAAUGGACUUUUCGGCGAGGGGUAGCAAAAAGGCUGGGCCGGCGGCCCGAAGAGGGAGGAAGAGGGAGAGAUAGGCUGCGGGCUGAGGGAGGGAUAGAGUAAUACUUGGGCUGAAAAAGGCCCAAGUACAUAGAGAGGAAUUUUAAUUUGUUUUCUAUUUAUUUUAAUAGGUUAAAUAAGUUUUGUGGUAUUAAAAUUAGUUAUUGAGCUCUGAAAAUUCACGAAAAAUUUAAAAUAAUAAUUUAGACCACGUAAAAUAUUACAAAAAAUAUUUCCGUCCAUGAUUUUUAAAGGAAAAUUUUAGUUUCCUCAUUAAUUCACUUGAUUAAAUUGCGUUAACUUUUAAUACUCCAUCCAUCCCAUAAUGUAAGGUGUGCACAUAUUUCAAGAUUCAACUUUUAAACAUUUGGCCAACACUUAGUAUAAUAUAAAAUAUUUUAUUUGUUAAAAAUUAUAUCAUUAGAUUGAUAUUUAAAUUUACUUUCAUAUGAUUAUAGUUUUGUUGCUAUAAAUCUUAUAGUAUAUGAGAAAUUAUAAGCUAAAUAUUAGUUUUGGAGACCGUGCCAGCUUUUACCGCGCCUUAUAUUAUGGGAUAGAGGGAGUAUAUUUUUUUCAA
rnacentral:lncRNA from 1 species